rnacentral:lncRNA from 1 species
CUCGGAUUUCCGGAGGGUGGGAUCAUCGUGGUGGAGUGGGCCGAUUGAGAUCACUUUCGGCUUGAAAUACUUCCUGAAAUCUUGGUGACGACCAAGGGUUGAUGGGACUCUUUGUAUCAAUGGUUUGGCACCGAGGUUGAUUUCGUCGCCGUCGAAAGCUUCGUCUAAUGACCGGAGAUUCGCUACUUCUCCAUCUCUAAGAGGGACGUCCAUAUCAAUGCUCACGGAAUCGUUGUUGUCGGUGAUUGCUUGAUCAGUGGAAACUGCUCCGACGGCGCCGCCUCCUUCCUCCGUGGAGAACAUUUUCAGGCUGAGCGGUUGGAAGUAAUAAAGAAGGUGAUUUUGUAAACUGCUUUUGGGUGAGUGAGUGAUGUUGGAGAAAAGGUGGCAAAGUGGAUACGAUGAUGGGAAAUAUUUUAUAGCUUACACGAUACACAUAUAUAUAUGGGAAAUACUUACACCGUGUUUGGUUUAGUGUAAUAGCUAAUCCAUUACGCCCCGAUUACGUGCCUAUUACAUUACUGAUCUAUUCCGGCGUUUGGUUCGCUGUAAUAGGUAUUACGCGCCUAUUACAAUACCGACCUAAGCCCCAAAUUCUCUGCUUUUCUAUUCCCUUCCCAAAUCCCAGAUUACCUAUUACGUCCGGCUUCCCUUCCCAAGUCUCUGUUUUACCCUCCCUCCCUACCCGAAAUCGACCUCCACCCUCUCCUUUUUCUGUCCUCAUCAUUUCUCCUCCCAUUUCACACUGCUUCAUUUUUUUCUCUCGGAGCACGUUUGGUUUUUGAAUAUUGAGGUAUGAAUCAACGUUUGGUUAAAAUGUUUAUGAUUUACUUGUUUAAAGUUUUCUAGAUCUUUUUCUAUAUCUAUAGUUUCUGCUAGUUCUAUUUCUUUGUUUUUCUUUUUGGUGCUAAAUACUCGCUCGAAUUAUUUUUUGAUUUGGAAUUAGGGUGUUUUCCGAUUAUAAUCUUACUAUUCUGAAAUCUUACUAAUGCUAUAUCGGUUACCCACAAUUUGUUCGUAACGAAAAACAUGGUUGGUAUUUUUUCCAGAUUUUCUGUUGGCAGGUCUGCCCAUCGACGCUCCAAGAGUGCCUUUGUAAGUUUCUAUAGCUUACAUAAAGAGGCGAAUAUAAGGGAAUGUAAAAUUGUUAUUUAGGCCCUUAACUUUAUUAAAAUUUCAAAUUAGUAAAGGUAAAAUUAUACUUUGGCCUCAUAAAAUUAUAAAAAUUCAAUUUAAUCUUUUAAAAAUUAUAAAGAUAUAGACUACAAAAAAUUAAAAUUUCAUUCUAUCCACCCUAAAAAAUUAUUCGGGCUUUGCUGCUACUUACAUAAUAAACAUAUGGAAAAUACUUUUGGUGUAAUUCAAAUUUACCCCUUAUAGUCAAUUUAAUUUUCAUUUUUUUUAAUUUAAUUUUCUAUCUUUUGGAAGAGUCGAACUUAACUAUCAAUUUAAAUUUAUGUUUUUUUAACGAAAAUAGUGACUAAAAUAUUAAAAUGUUAAACAUGACAACUCAAACGGCAAUCCACAUCUAUAUUUUUAUAUUCAUUUCUUAUUUUUUAAAUUAUUUAUUGACGUGACAUAUAAUAAAAGUAUUGUUAUGUUAGCAUGAAGUACACAUGAAUUGCCACACUAGUUGUGACACCAAUAUCGUUAAAAAAUUAAUAUUUCAGUUAGCAUAUUUGUUAAAGAAAAGUAAAUUGGUUCUUUUUUGAAAGGUUAAUGGUUAAAUUUAGCUCAAAUGAAAAAAAAUAAAGGCCAAUUUGAUAAAAAAAGGUAAAUGUCAAAAGUUAAGUUUAUCAUUUAUACAAGUAUAAAUAUAUGUCUGGAUUAAUCUAGAAAGAACCAGACAAACUCUACACGUGAUAUUCAAAUGUGACGAGAGGGAAAUCUACACAUCACAAUUGAGAAUAAUAUUAUAGAAAUACUCAAAAACCUAAAACCUUCCCCUUAACCAAGAAGCUAAGACGCUAUGGAUAAUUUUAUAUCUACAACACUUCAUGAAUUUCAUAUGCUUAAUAAGAGUUCUUUAAAUAUAUUCGAUUUUUAUUUUAUUAUUUAUAUUAUUUUGACUCAGUAUUUAAAUUAUCAUUAUGUUACAUGAUUUAUUUCAAAUAUUUUAUAUAUUUUUAUAACGAAAUUUGAAUUAAAAAAAUAUCAAUUUUAUUAUUAAAUUAUAAUUUGAUAUAUUUUGAGAUAAUGCAAUUUUAAGUAUUUCAAUUUAUUUAAUCAUUAUUUUUAAACUCGUUUUUUGUUUUGUUAGUAUUGCAUAAUUUUAACGUGUAUAUAUAUAUAUAUAUUUAAAGUUCUACUUAUUUUUAAGUUAUGUCAAAUAAUUGACAACUUUAUUAAAGUAUGCAUUUGAAUUUAUAAAUUUUUUUAGGUUGAAAUUAAAUUGUAUACUUUUACGAUAGUAAAAAUAUAAUUUUAUCAUUUUAAUUGCCUAUAUCGUUAUAAAUUUUAAAAUAUUAAAUCAAAUUUAUAUCAUUUUUGGAGGGUAAAGUAUAAUUUUAUCAUUACUAAUUUAAAAUUUUAUAAAUUAUAAAGGGGUCUAAAUAAUUUUUUUUUCAUUUUAAAGGAGACCAAGACUCUACAACCCUUGAAUUCGCCUCUAUCCAUAUAUUAUAUUUUAUUAAUCGAUUAUACAUGUAAACAUAUUUGUUUUUACUAAUACAUUUUAUUAAUCAAAUGGCUUUUUUUUUUUUACUGUUAAGUUAUCUUUUUUUAACUCCAUACAACAAAAUUUAUUUGCUCACAGUUUAACAUAUUUUUUUAUUAUUUCAGCAAUAAUAUUUUAUACUUAUCUAUAUAUCAAAUAUCAUGAUUCUCUAACAUUAUUAAGAUUAAAUAAAUAAAAUAUGUAUAUAUAUAAAUAAUGUUUUUUUACAAAAUUUUAAUUGUUUAAUCUCAAUAAUUUUCUUUUGCAACAUUAAAUCAUAUAAUACAUUUAGAAUAUUAAAAAUGUAUCAGAUUUUUAUUAAUAUAUACAUACAAUAAAUUUGUGUAUAGCAUGAGUAAACAAAUUAAUUAUUAAACUAUAAUUUGGCUCAAACUAAGUUAACCUUAACUUAAAAUUAGGUUAAAGUACUUGGGAUUUGGGACUUGGGAGGUUGGACUGGAUUAAAUUAGUCCUUCUGUUAUUAAAUGGAUCGAUUUAGUCCUUAUAUUAUUAAAAAGAAUCAAAUAAGUUCAAACUGAAAUAGAGUUAACAUUUACUGUAUAAAAAAUGUCUCGGCAAUUGCAAUUCAAUUCCAAACAGAAUGGUUCAUGUAUAUAACCAUAAGAACUUUUUAAAUAUUCACUUGUUAGACAAUAAUAGUAUAGGACUAAAUUGAUCCAUAUAUAUAUUAUUAAUAGAAAUGAGAAUUGUGCUUGGCCAAGUUUCUAAGUUUGGUAUUUGUUCUUACUUUCCUUCUUCAACCGUAGGAGCCACUCUCAUGACUUUUAUUUACUUUGCCAAGUUACUAAGUCAUGACUUUAGUAAAAGAUUUAGUUCCAUUUGUCGCUCCAACAUAACUUUUUUUUAACGAAGAUUCCAGUUAUAUCGAUAGGUAUACAUUGUUUCAAUAAUAAUUCGAAACAAUCAAUUUUAUUUUUUGCACAACGGUGGCGGGAGGUGGCAAGCAGGGGUAAAUGUAUAAGAUUAUAAAUUUCAAAGGUAAGAUUGUAAUUUGGCCCCAAAAAAUCAUAAGGCUUUAAUUUAGUUCUUUAAAAAAUUAUAAUGGUAUUAGCUAAUACAAUGAUGAAACUGUGUUUUAACCCUUAUCGAAAUUUAUAAUUUAAUUUCGGUCCCUCAAAUAAAAUUUUUGACUUCGUCCUUAUUUCCGCACUAGUAAAAAUUCUAAUCUAUAUCAUCUGCAACGGCCAAUACUAUAACAGUCUGAUUUUCAAUGGUAUCGGAAAAGAUGGUUUUGAAACCCCAUUUUCAUUGUCUGAGUCCAUAAAUAUUAAUAUUUAAUAUUUACAAGGCUAGUAUAAAAGUUUAUUGCAGUUUGGUCCAGCAAUUUUGUCUAAUUGAUAGUUAAAUAAGGUACAUGAACUAAAUUAUAAAAGUCCAAUCAAUAUAGGUUUUUAAUUAGCAAAGGACCAAAAGGGCUAUUAAACCAUCUUUUAUUAUAUGAUAGUGGAUAUAAACAAAUAUUAAAUUUAGUUAAUUAAACUUGAUUAUGAUUAAUUAAUCCAGUUUAAUUAAAUUCUAAUUAGACAAUAUAUACAAAUUAAGUGGAAAAAAUGAAAACAUUUUUCAUCUUCAUCAUCUUUGCUGAAUUUGAGAGACAGAAAAACCUAGAAAGCUUUCAUACAUUCGGUCCUCAAUUUCUAAGGCGAUUUAAGUUUUUUUCUUGUAACUUUUAUAUAUUUGAGGUUAUGGACGCUUCAUUUAUUUAGCUCAUGUAAUAAUUUGUAAAAUUGUUAAAGUUUUUGAAAGUUGCCGUUUUUAGUUUCUUGAAUAAAUAAAUAUUAAAUUAAUAGAUUUUAAGGUUAGAUGUGAAAAAGAAUUAAAUUAUAAAAUUUAAAUUGAUAAUUUUAAGCAAAAGGAUAAAAUUGUAUAAAUUGAAAAUUUGACGCUAGUUUUUUUAUAGUUUUAGAUAAUAGAGAGUUCUAAAAGAAUGUGAUUGAAAUUGAUUUCUGAUUUAGAGAUUAAAUUAAAUAAAAUAUGAAAUUUUAAAAAUAUCAUAAAAAUAAAAUUUAACUGACUCAUGCAUGCAUAUAACAAAAACUAAAAUUUUAAGGACACACCUUCAUGCAUUUCACUUCAUUAAUAACGAAAGAAGCAUGGCUACCUAGCUUUCUGCUUCAUCCAAAAUUGUUGAACUUUGGCCUAUAAUGCAAUAGUAGAGAAGCAAUGAAGCUCAACCAGUACAACAGCAACAUUUUGUUCAUAUGCAACUAGCUUUAGUUCUUUUGUAAUUUGUAUUUAAAGUUAGUAAGAUUAGUUGAUGAUUUGAAUAAUGUCUAAUGUGAUGUAAUAGUUGAUAUGCCAACUACAUUUUGUGUGUAAUUUAAGCUUUGUUUUAGUCAAGUUAUUAGUGGGAGCAGUUGUGUAUUAGGAAACUCUCAUGUAACUUAUAUGUUUAUCUUAAUGAAAAAUGCAUAUGAAAUUAGUUUUCAAGUUUCAUUUUUGUUCAAUUCUCUUUGUAUUCGUUUCUUGCUACUUUUCUCCUUUGUUUUCUAUCAAAACAUCAACAAAUGGUAUACAGAGCCUGUCAUUUUUGAGGGACUUUAUUGUUGGUAGUUGUUUUUGUGAGAAACCUUGAAGAAAAAGAAACUGAGGUUGUUGUUUUUAUUGUUGCUGCAAAAUGAGUUUUACACCACCACCACUACCACCUCUUUUUGCUGGUGAAAACUACCACAUUUGGGUAGUAAAGAUGAAGACUUACCUGCAAGCACAUGACUUGUGGAAUGUGGUUGAGAAUGACACAGAACCAGCUCCAUUGAGGGCCAAUCCCACUAUUGUAGAAAUUAGACAACAUUGUGUAAAGUGUGCUAAGAAGCACAAAUCUAUGUCAUGCUUAAAAAAUAGUGUCUGAUGUGAUCUUCACUCGAAUAAUGGCUUGUGACACUCCAAAGUAAGCCUCAGAGAAGCUGAAGGAAGAGUUUCUCGGGCCAGACAAGACUAGGCAGUAGCAGUUGAUCAACCUUAGGAAGGACUUUAAGAACUUGAAGAUGAGAGAGUCUAAAACAAUCAAGCAGUACUCUGAUAGGAUAAUGGCCACAGUCAACAACAUCAGGCUCCUUAGAGAUGAAUUCAGUGAGAGUAGAAUUGUUAAGAAAGUCAUUACAACCCUUCUUGAAAAAUUUAAAGCAAAAAUCUCCUCAUUAGAAGACUCGAGAGAUUUAUCAACCAUCUCACUAUCUGAGUUGAUAAAUGCUCUAUAUGCAUUAGAGCAAAGAAGGGCCAAUAGGAUGGAAGAGCAUCCUGAAGGAGCUUUCCAACUAGAAACCAAGGAAAGCUCAGGUUCAAGCUAUAAAGGAAAGAAACCAUGGCUUAACAAAAGGGAGAAACCAAAGAGGGAUGCAGGGAAGAAAAUGUUCCCACCAUGUAUUCACUGCAAAAGGUCCACACACUUGGAGAGGUAUUGCUGGUACAGACCUGAUAUUCAGUGUAAGAGCUGCAAGUAGUUUGGUCACAUUGAAAAGGUUUGCAAGAACAAAGGAACGACAUAAGCUCAACAGCAAAAUCAAGCUCAAGCUGCUGAGGAUAUUCAAGCUCAAGAGGAGCAUGUUUUCACUGCAUCCUAUUUUGCAACCUCAAGAAAAUUCAGAAGAGACUAGUUAGUAAACAGUGGCUGCACUCAUCAUAUGGCAUCUGAUGAAGGGUUAUUCAGAGAUCUUAACAAAAGAUUUGUUUCCAAAGUUAAGAUUGGAAAUAGAAACCUUAUUGAGGCCAGAGGCAAAAGCAAUGUUGUGAUCAACACACAUUCAGGUAACAAAAUAAUUUCAGAUGUUCUUUUUGUACUUGACAUAGACCAAAAUCUGCUUAGUGUUGGUCAAUUAAUAUAAAAGGGUUAUUCACUCAAUUUUAAGAACAACUCCUGUGUUAUUGGAGAUUCACUUGGUGAAGAAUUAGUUACAGUUGCUAUGACUGAGAGAUGCUUUAUGUUGGAUGUGAACCAGUUUGAAAUGAAGGCCUAUACUAGUCUUGCUGAUAAAGCUAGUUUAUGGCAUAAAAGGUUAGGCCAUGUCAAUUAUAAAUCACUCAGUUUGUUGCACAAACUCAAUUUGGUUGAAGACAUGUCCAAGGUUGAAGUCAAAGACAAAGUUUGUAAAAUUUGUCAGCUUGGGAAGCAAGUGAGAUUGCCUUUUCCAGUUAACAAGGCAUGGAGAGCUCGAGACAAGCUUCAAUUGGCCCAUACUGACAUUUGUGGACCAAUGAAGACCUUUUCUUUGAAUGAUAGCAGAUACUUUGUGCUAUUCAUAAAUGAUUAUACAAGGUUCUACUGGGUAAUUUUCUAAGACAAAAGUCAAAAGUACCUGAAGUAUUCAGCAAGUUCAAAGCCUUAGCUGAGAAUUAAUGAGGCUGUAAGCUUAAGGCCUUGAGAUUCAGUAAUUUGAUGAGGAAAAUGUAUGGAACUGGAAUGUUACAGAUGCAAACUUGAGUGAGGAAGGUCAACAAGAUAAUAAUCUGUAACCAGCUGAAGAAGAAGAGCCAAUUGCUGAUGAUUUUGAUGAUGUACCUGUGAAAGACACAAGAACCAUUACUGACAUCUAUCAAAGAUGUGAUGUUGCAAUACUGGACCUACAAAUUUGAUGAGGCUGCCAGAGAAUAGUGUUGGAAAAGGGCCAUGGAAGUUGAAAUGGAGAUGAUACACAAGAACAACAUUGGGAACUGGUUGACAGACCAGACCAAAAGAGAGUUAUUGGUCUGAAGUGGGUGUUUAUGGUUAAGUACAAUAUUGAUGGGUCUCUAAACAAACACAAGGCAAGACUUGUGGUGAAGGGAUACAGCCAACAGUAUGGCAUCGAUUUCAUAGAAACAUUUGCUCCAGUUGCAAGGUUAGUUACUAUAAGGCACUUGUUUUCCUUAGCUGCUCAAAAGAAAUGGAGAGUGAAUCAAUUGGAUGUUAAGUCUGCUUUUCUGAAUGGCUUCCUUAAGGAAGAAAUCUUCAUUGAACAACCAUAUGGGUUCAAGAUUCCUCAUGAAGAGAAUAAGGUCUACAAGCUGAAAAAGGCUUUGUAUGGUUUGAAGCAAGCACUAAGGGCCUGGUAUGACAGAGUUGGUGCAUAUCUGUCUAGGCUCAGUUUUGAGAAGAGUAUCAGUGAGCCUACUCUCUAUGUGAAGAAAUCAAAAAAUGAAACCCUGUUGAUUAUGUCACUUUAUGUAGAUGAUCUACUAGUAAUUGGAAGCGAGGGGAAGCUGAUUGAAGAGUUUAAAAUAUAGAUGCAAGAUGUCUUUGAAAUGAGUGACUUGGGGGAAAUGACUUACUUUCUUGGCAUGAAAGUGAAUCAGUUUGAUCAUGCCAUCUUCAUAAGUUAGCAAGCUUUUGCCAUAAAUAUUUUAAACAAAUUUUGCAUGUCAAAAUACAAAAUUUUUAGCACACCAGUGGCUCAAGGUGAAAAAGUAACCAACCUUGGCAACCAUGAAAGAGUUGAUGAGAAGGUGUAUAGAAGCCUUGUAGGUUGUCUACUCUACUUGACAGCUACAAGGCUUGAUAUCAUGUUUGUUGUUAGCCUUCUGUCCAGAUUCAUCCAUUGUCGCAAUGUUGUUCAUUUUAAGGCAGCCAAAAGAGUUCUUAGAUAUGUGAAAGGGACUUUGGAUUAUUGAGUGAAAUUUGGGAAGACAAACGAACUCAAGUUGAUAGGGUAUUCUGAUAGUGAUUGGGCAGGUCCAUUGAUGACAUGAAGAGCACAUCUGACUAUUUCUUCACUCUUGGCUAAGGUGUUUUUUGUUGGAGUUCAAAGAAACAACAAAUAGUUGCUUAAUCAAUAGCAGAAGCAGAGUGCAUUGCAGCUGCUGUAGCUGUUAAUCAAGCCAUUGGUUUAGGAAGCUCUUAUGUAAUUUGAAUGAAGAUCAAGUUGAAGCUACUAAUAUUAGAGUUGACAAUAAGUCAGCUGUUGCCAUAGCAAAAAAUUCAGUAUUUCAUGGCAAAACUAAGCAUUUUAAGAUUAAAUUUUAUUUUGUUAGAGAGGUUGAACAAUCAAAAGAAGUUAAUUCAAUUCAUUGCAGCUCAAAAAACCAGCUUGCCGAUAUUCUAACUAAGUCUCUCGGUGCUAUAAGAUUUGAGAACUUAAGAAGAAGUAUUGGUGUUUGUUGCAUAUAGUCCAAGGAGGAGUGUUGAACUUUGGCCUGCAAUGCAACAGCAGAGAAGCAUUGAAGCUCAACCAGCACAGCAGCAACAUUUUGUUCAUAUGCAACUAGCUUUAGUUCUUUUGUAAUUUGUAUUUAAAGUUAGUAAGAUUAGCAGAACUGGAUAUUGUCGUAUUUGAUUAUAAAAAGGUGUCGGCUGGAAUUUAAUUCUCAUUGAGUGUUUUUUUAUAAAAUAACUUGAAAAUUUUUAUUAAUUAUAAAAAUGAUAUUUUUUAUUAGGUAAUAAAUAAUAAAACUGAGUGAAAUUAAAGAGAUUAGUGCCACAUCAACCAAUCAUUAACUGUUAAAAUUAAAAAAAUUAUUUUUUGAAUGAAGCCAACCCAUAUCGCAUCAUUGCGGCAGAAAGCAAUAAAGUAUGCACUAAUCAAUUGUUUUUAAUUGCUAAUAUUUAGUGAUAAAAUAAUAUUUAAUUAUCGAAAUUUGAUAAUAGUAACGAAGUUGAAAAAGGUUUUACAAUUUAGUUUUGAAAUAUAUAUUUUUAUUGAAGUUAAACUGUAAUUUAAUUAUAUUGAUUUGUAAUUUUACAUUGUUUAAAGGGACUAGAUCAAUUUUUUAUUAUUUUGGAGGUCAAUAUGCAAUUUAACAUGUAAAAUUUCAACUUUCAAGGAGACUCAAAGCAUAAAUUAACAUUUUAGGGGACCAAGGUCUUGCCUACCCCUUGUCGCCACCCCUCAUUGGUAAUUUAACUACUUCGGCCUUUGAAUUUUUUUGUCUAAAUUUAUCCUGAAAUUUGAUAGUUUUUCCUAAUGUAGUCCUUGAACAUUGGUCUAUGCUACAUCUUAGAUUUUUUUUAAAAAAUUUUUUAAAUGAUGACAUGGUUUUUUAAUAGAAUUUAAGUUCAAGAAUUAAAUUUAAAAAAUUGUUAAGUUCAAAGGCUAAAUAUUACAUUAUCCUUAAUAUUUGUUACCCGGUUUUAGAAGUCCAUUGAAUUUCUUGCCUGUUUACUUUUGUUAUUAACCAUUGCUUUGUUCUUCUUUGUUUAAUUUUAGGUCCCAUAAUUGAAAAAAGAAUGGAUGAGAAAUUUCUAAAAUCAUUAGAAACAAGAAAAUAUGAUCUCAAAUCCAAUGAAGCAUUGAAGCUCAACUAGUACAGCAGCAACAUUUUGUUCAUAUGCAACUAGCUUUAGUUCUUUUGUAAUUUGUAUUUAAAGUUGGUAAGAUUAUUUGAUGAUGUGAAUGAUGUCCAAUGUGAUGUAAUAGCUGAUAUGUCAGCUACAUUUUUUGUGUAAUUUAAGCUUUGUUUUAGUCAAGUUAUUAGUGGGAGAAGUUGUGUAUUAAGAAACUGUCAUGUAACUUCUAUGUUUAUCUUAUUGAAAAAUGUAAAUGAAAUCAGUUUUCAGGUUUCAUUUUUGUUCAAUUCUCUUUGGAUCCGUUUCUUGCUUCUUUUCUCCUUUGUUUUCUGUCAAAACACCAACAAAAAUUCACAUGUAUACAAAUUAGGACAACGUAAGUGGUCACUGAACAGCCCUAUUUAAAGAAGAAUAUACCAAAAUAAGACAAACCUAAGACCUGAACACUGACCUCAUGUGCUGCAAAGCUAUAAGAUGUUCUGAAAUUACGAAAAUCUUGUUAACAUUAAUGGAAGACAAUUAAUAAUGGUUGCCAUUAACAUUAAUGGGAGACAAUCAAUAAUGACAACCACCAACUUUGGAAAAGUGGCAAGGGAUAAUUUUUUUUGGUCCUUGAGAUAAUGGGCUAUUUAUUGUUUGGUCCUUGAACCUCAACUAUAAAUAGGUCUUCUCAUUUCUCAUUUCAAUUCAUCCCAACCAAUCUUUCUCUCUUAGUUUUCUCUCUUCUCCCAUUUGAGAAUUCUUAAGGAAUUCUAUUUGUUUGUAAUACUUUGAAGAUAGUAAAGUUAUCAUCUGGUGUUAGUGCCCGAGGACGUAGGUAUAAUUUACCGAACCUCGUUAAAACUCUUGUGUUCUUUAUUGUCCUAUUUUUCUUUCAAUAUUUGAGGGUAUAAUAGUAGUAUUUAAUUGUGCUAUUAAAUUACUAUAGAAGGGAUAUUCUGUCUAAGGAAAGACUUGGUAUUUAAGAGAUCCAUGUGAUCCACCUCUCUUCCCUGGGAAUUGAACUUUGUGUGAUUUUUAGUACAAUAAUUUAUACGCUUCCAACCCUAUUGGAACUACAAGUGGUAUCAAGAGCCGAAGGUUAAUCGUAGUAUGCUCUGUGGUUGCAGUUUAAACUGAUCUUCCACAUCAGAAAAGAUUUCCUUAGGUAUAUUGAAAGAUUAUGGAGAAAACGGUCGGUGUAGGAGCUUCAACAUCGUCCAUGUGGACAAGACCGACAAUUGCAAAUGCAAGAUUGGCCGUAGAGAUCUUUGAUGGCACGGGCCAUUUUGGUAUGUGGCAAAGUGAGGUUCUAGAUGCCCUUUUUCAGCAGGGUCUAGACAUUGCCAUUGAUGAAGAGAAACCAGAUGAUGUACAGGAGAAAGAUUGGAAAGCGAUCAAUCGGUUGGCAUGUGGCACAAUUCGAUCAUGCCUUUCUCGAGAGCAGAGGUAUGCUUUUUCAAAAGAGACUUCUGUAAAUAAGUUGUGGGUGGCACUUGAAGAUAAUUUUUUGAAGAAAAACAGUCAAAAUAAGCUCCACUUGAAGAAAAGACUGUUUCGCUUCACAUACGUCCCAAGUACCACAAUGAAUGAUCACAUCACCAAAUUUAAUCAGUUAGUCACUGAUUUGCUGAAAAUGGAUGAGACAUUCAAAGAUGAAGAUUUGGCUUUGAUGCUGUUGGGGUCACUUCCUGAGGAGUUUGAGUUCCUAGAAACUACUCUACUUCAUGGCAGGAGUGAUAUAUCUCUGAGCGAAGUCUGUGCGGCCUUAUACAGUUACGAACAGAGAAAGAAGGACAAACAGAAAAACUCAAUCAGAGAUACAGAAGCUUUAGUAGUCCGAGGUCGUUCAUACACUCGGAAGAAAACUCAAAAUGGGAGAUCAAAGUUAAAGUCCAGACUCGGGAAAGAUGAAUGUGCUUUUUGUCAUGAGAAAGGCCACUGGAAGAAAAAUUGUCCAAAGCUGAAGAAUAAGGGAGAAGCUGCUGUAGAUGCUUGUGUUGCUAAGCAUGAUACUAGUGACUCUGAACUAUCACUGGUUGCAUCAUCAUCGUCAUUCCAUUCAGAUGAGUGGAUAUUGGAUUCGGGUUGUACCUAUCAUAUGUCCCCUAACCGGGAGUGGUUCUCUGAUUUAGUAGAACUAAAUGGAGGAGUUAUUUAUAUGAGCAAUGACAAUGCCUGUAAAACUGUUGGGAUAGGUUCAAUCCAAUUAAAGAAUCAAGAUGGAUCAACCAGAGUUCUGACUGAUGUUCGGUACGUUCCCAGUUUGAAGAAAAAUCUCAUCUCAUUGGGAGCCUUGGAAUCCAAUGGUUCAGUUGUUACUAUGAGAGAUGGGAUUUUGAAAGUGACAUCUGGCGCACUUGUGAUAUUGAAGGGCAUCAGGAAAAAUAACUUGUAUUACUACCAAGGUAGUACAGUUAUUGGAGCAGUCGCUACAGCUUCCGGUAACAAAGAAUUGGACUCAAUGCAGUUGUGGCAUAUGAAGUUGGGACAUGCCAGCAAAAAAUCCUUGCAAAUUCUGGCAAAGCAAGGAUUGUUGAAAGGUGCAAAGGCUUGCAAAUUAAAAUUUUGCGAGCAUUGUGUUCUGGGAAAGCAAAAGAGAGUGAAAUUCGGUACUGCUAUCCAUAAUACAAAAGGUAUUUUGGAAUAUGUUCACUCAGAUGUGUGGGGGCCUUCCAAGACACCUUCAUUGGGAGGAAAACACUACUUUGUUACUUUUGUUGAUGACUUUUCCAGAAGAGUUUGGGUGUAUACCAUGAGAACUAAGGAUGAAGUGCUUAGAGUUUUUUCUUAAAUGGAAAACUAUGAUCGAAAACCAGACUGGCAAGAAAAUCAAGCGGCUUAGGACGGACAAUGGAGGGGAAUAUAAAAGUGAUUCGUUCUUCGAUGUGUGCCAAGAGUAUAGUAUUGUUCGACACUUCACAGUUAGGGAUACACCACAACAGAAUGGAUUGGCAGAGCGUAUGAAUCGAACAUUGCUAGAGAAAGUUCGAUGUAUGUUGUCCAAUGCUGGGUUGGGCAAGCAAUUUUGGGCUGAGGCUGUGACAUACGCUGGCCAUCUUGUUAAUCGUUUGCCAUCAUCUGCAUUAGAAAGAAAAACUCCUAUAGAGGUAUGGUCUGGAAAACCGGCUACAGAUUAUGAUUCCUUACAUGUGUUUGGAACCACUGCAUAUUACCAUGUGAAGGAGUCAAAGUUAGAUCCGAGGGUAAAGAAAGCUCUCUUUAUGGGAAUCACUUCUAGAGUGAAGGGAUUUCGUCUUUGGUGCUUAAGCACAAAGAAAAUGAUCUGUAGCAGAGAUUUUACCUUUGAUGAAUCUGCCACAUUGAAAAAGGUAGCAGAUAAAGAUAUUCAGACGAGCAAUACUCCACAGCAGGUGGAGUGUACUCCAAAACAGGUGGAGUUUGAGCAGAUGAGGAUUUGCCCAGUUAAUAAGUCUAAUUCUCCAGCCACAAUAGAGGAAUUAGAGGUUGAAGAGGUUCUGACCCAAGAACCACUAAGUACACCAGAACCAGUUGCAGUUGCAAGGCCACGGAGAGAAAUUCGUAAACCUGCUCGAUUUACUGAUAUGGUGGCCUACGCCCUUCCCGUUGUUGAUGAUAUUCCUAUCACUUAUCAAGAAGCAAUGCAAAGCUUAGAAAGUGAUAAAUGGAAAAGCGCCAUGGAUGAAGAAAUGCAGUCUCUCCGAAAGAACAAUACUUGGGAGUUGGCGCAAUUACCGAAAGGUAAAAGGGCAAUCGGAUGCAAGUGGGUAUUCGCAAAGAGAGAUGGAUCUCCUAGCAAGAAGGAUAUUCGCUACAAGGCAAGAUUGGUAGCUAAAGGCUACGCUCAGAAGGAGGGAAUUGACUACAAUGAUGUAUUUUCCCCUGUUGUGAAGCAUUCCUCCAUUAGAAUUUUGUUGGCCUUGGUAGCACAGUUGAAUUUGGAGCUAGCUCAACUUGAUGUUAAGACGGCUUUCUUGCAUGGUGAGUUAGAAGAGGAGAUCUAUAUGACUCAGCCCGAAGGAUACACAGAUGCUGGUGGUAGAAAUUGGGUUUGUAAGCUUAACAAAUCGCUAUAUGGAUUGAAGCAAUCCCCGAGGCAGUGGUACAAGCGAUUUAAUAGCUUUAUGAGAAGGCAAAAGUACACAAGAAGCAAAUAUGACAAUUGUGUGUAUUUGCAGAAGCUGCAUGACGGAUCUUUCAUUUAUCUACUCUUGUAUGUUGAUGAUAUGUUAAUCGCUUCGAAGAGCCAAAAAGAGAUAGAUAAGCUGAAGGCUCAGUUGAAUCAAGAGUUCGAGAUGAAAGAUCUAGGUGAGGCCAAGAAGAUUCUCGGCAUGGAGAUAAGUAGAGAUAGACAGAGAGGCAAGCUUUGUUUGAAUCAGAAGCAAUAUCUGAAAAAGGUAUUACAAUGUUUUGGUGUAAAUGAAAACACAAAACAUGUAAGUACCCCACUUGUUUCUCAUUUGAAACUUAGUGCUCAAUUAUCUCCGAAAACUGAAGAAGAAAGAGAAUAUAUGGCAAAAGUCCCAUAUGCUAAUGCAGUUGGGAGUUUGAUGUAUGCGAUGGUGUGUACGCGGCCUGACAUUUCACAAGUUGUUGGAGUUGUGAGCAGGUAUAUGCAUGAUCCUGGAAAAGGACAUUGGCAAGCUGUGAAAUGGAUUCUACGGUAUCUUCGAAAAACCGUAGAUGUUGGUUUAAUUUUUGAACAGGAUGAAGCACUUGGUCAGUUUGUAGUUGGAUAUGUUGAUUUCGACUUUGCUGGUGAUUUAGAUAAACGUCGUUCAACUACGGGGUAUCUGUUUACUCUUGCGAAAGCCCUAGUGAGUUGGAAGUCUACCUUACAGUCUACAGUAGCUGUGUCUACUACAGAGGCAGAAUAUAUGGCAGUUACAGAAGCUGUUAAGGAGGCUAUUUGGCUUAAUGGAUUGUUGAAAGACUUAGGAGUUGUUCAAAGUCACAUAAGUUUAUAUUGUGACAGUCAGAGCGCUAUUCAUUUAGCGAAAAAUCAAGUCUAUCAUUCAAGAACCAAGCAUAUCGACGUAAGAUAUCACUUUGUGCGGAAAGUCUUUGAAAAAGGAAAAAUUCUACUUCAGAAGAUUCCGACAGCAGAUAAUCCCGCAGAUAUGAUGACCAAGGUGGUAACAACAAUCAAGUUUAAUCAUUGUUUGAACUUGAUUAACAUCCUGAGAAUUUGAGCACCUUCAGGUGUAUGGCGCUCGAGAGCGCAUUUGUAGGCACUACAAAAGAUAGCUUUAUCGAAUUUGGGGAGUUGAAGGAAGUGUGUGAAGAUGUGAUUAUCCUAAUCAAAUCUUCAAGGUGGAGAUUGUUAACAUUAAUGGAAGACAAUUAAUAAUGGUUGCCAUUAACAUUAAUGGGAGACAAUCAAUAAUGACAACCACCAACUUUGGAAAAGUGGCAAGGGAUAAUUUUUUUUGGUCCUUGAGAUAAUGGGCUAUUUAUUGUUUGGUCCUUGAACCUCAACUAUAAAUAGGCCUUCUCAUUUCUCAUUUCAAUUCAUCCCAACCAAUCUUUCUCUCUUAGUUUUCUCUCUUCUCCCAUUUGAGAAUUCUUAAGGAAUUCUAUUUGUUUGUAAUACUUUGAAGAUAGUAAAGUUAUCAUCUGGUGUUAGUGCCCGAGGACGUAGGUAUAAUUUACCGAACCUCGUUAAAACUCUUGUGUUCUUUCUUGUCCUAUUUUUCUUUCAAUAUUUGAGGGUAUAAUAGUAGUAUUUAAUUGUGCUAUUAAAUUACUAUAGAAGGGAUAUUCUGUCUAAGGAAAGACUUGGUAUUUAAGAGAUCCAUGUGAUCCACCUCUCUUCCCUGGGAAUUGAACUUUGUGUGAUUUUUAGUACAAUAAUUUACAUGCUUCCGACCCUAUUGGAACUACAAAUCUUUGUUCUUUCAUUGGGUUUCUUAUCUUCCUUUUACACAAUUAAAAACCCAUAUAUAAUUUUAAAAAUACUUUCAGGCUUCUUUGUCUUGCUAAUUUCUGUAGAAAAUUACUGGUCUAUCACUGCCCCAAAGGUUCCAGCAUUUGAAGCACAAGAUAUUGGCACAUCAUAUAAGUUCUAAAUUUGUCACCAACAACUGACAAAACUGAGUAGAAUUACAUUAAUUAUGCUUAACAUUACACUUCAGGCAUACAUGCAAUUAAAAGUAAAAUCGAAAUAACACUAAACAUACUCGGAGUCGGAGGUGAAGAGGCGGUUGAAAGAGCGCGGAUUAAAGAGAAGAGGACUGGCGAGGUGGCGGGUAUUGAGGGCAAUGGAUGAGUGUUUUGAGGUGGGUUUUGAAAGAGCGUCUGAGGGAAAGCGAUAGAAACAUGGUGGAAGAAAGGAAGAGUUAAUGGAAGGAAAAUUUUAGGGUUUUGUUCUUUGUAUGAGAUCAUUUCAUAGAAUUGAUUAAGAAAGGAAGCAUCUAAGGAAGGAAAGGAGCUUAUUAGUGUUGUUUUCCGGUUUGGAUGUUUGGUUUAUUUUAUUAUUCAAAAUUAAUUUUUUUAAAACAAUGAAACAAGUUAUUUGAACCAGAUGGGUUUGAGACUAGGUUUGAUUUUUCUUUCUAGAGUCAGAACAUAGGCUUGAUGUAUGAAUACUUUUAAUUACAAUUGUAUUUGAGCUGUGAUGAUAUUCAACUAAAGCCCUCUCAAUAAUAAUAACUCUAAAUUUAAACUUAAAAAUAACUUUGAGCUAAUCUUGAUCGAUUACUCCAAUCACACAACACGAAUAACUAAAGCUUCCUCAACCUCAACAAAUGUUAUAGUGUCAAGAUUGAACAAACUGUCUCCUAGUACCCUAUUGAUUAGGCAACUUUGAUGUUGAACAUCCCACAAAAACAUGAAAAAAAGAAAAGAAAAAGAAUCACAAUUAUAUUUAACUCAUGCAACAAGUUUCACCUUUUUUUUUGUGAGAAAAAGAUCAAGCCACUAUUAGGGAGUCUUGGGCUUCUAGUUGAAGCCUGUGAAUCAUUAGAAUAAGAAAAUUCAUGUAAUGCUUAUUGCCAAAUCACAAUCUCGUCAGAAUUGAGGUUUUUCAAAAACAAAACAAUUAACAAAUAUUUAUGGCCUGAAACCUUAACCUACCCUAAUAGAAAGGUAAAAGAACAAUGUGCUCAAUGGAUUUCACUUCUUCCCCACACCUCGGUCAAUGAGGAUCCACCUCCUUAAACAUUUUGGCAAUGUUUUGUUUAGUAGUAACACAUUGUGGCAAGACCUCCUAAGGAGAUUUUUGAUAUUUAUUAUCACAUUAAGCUCUCAUGAAUGAUUUAAACCUUUCUAAGACAAAUCAUUGUUAGCAUUUUAUCCGUUUGGGGCCGCAUAUGAGAGAGGUAGAGAAAAGAGUCACUCGUACCCAUAUCAAAUGUUGUAAGAUUCAUCUUCCGAAAAAUGCCACACAAAUUUAUCUCGCUUAGUAGGGGACCUAAUAAGGAUUUUCUCAAUAACCUUAUGUUUAUUUUGGCUAAAACAUUGUUGUAGUAAAUCGCUCUUCCAAAUCCACAAGUCCAGAUCAAUCAGGUCCUUAAACAAAAUAAGGCUUAUCUCAAAGGAGGAAAGGAUGGAAUAUAUUCAAAAAGAUUACAAGUCGAGGACCCAUUGAUCAUGUGAAACCAUAAUGUCCUAGUCACUUUUGAAUUCAAUUUGGUUGCAAGAUUUUUAGUUAAAUUAAUAAUUCAAAAUUUUAGUAGGUAUCUUUCAUGUCUGAUGUACGAUUUUUGAAGACUAAUCUUUUUAGGAUUCGUGGUUACCCCUUCCAACGAUAUUAUUAUAUCUAAGGUUUAAAUAUGAAUUUUUUUCUUAGGAAUACAAUAUGCCUCCCCUUCUCAAUUUUUGUUCAUUGUUAAUUGAUCAUUUAAAUAGGAAUGCAUUUGUUUUAAACCUUGGUAAUUAGUUGGGUCUAGUGAACUUUAGGAGCUUAUUCUAUGCAUGUAACUCCCAACAUCCAUUCUUAAGAAUUCGAUGAUUGAAAUAUUUGGUUUCAAAAUUACUUCAAUUGUAAUUAUUACUUGAUUGUGGUACAAAAUUUUUGUUACAAUGUUUAGAACUAUUUACAACUCCUCCUUAACAUUUAAUAAAAGGAUAAAGGCACUUUAGCACGCUUCAACCCACAUAUCCUUCUAUACUAACAACAAUGUUGAUACUAAAUUAAAACUCAAUUUAACAAUUGUACAUAUUUUUAGGUUAAAUAAAUUUUAAGUACACAUAUUGCUGUUGUGAUGUAAGUAUUUAGGAUAAAUCACUGCAUUGUUAGACAAAUUGACCCAGACUAUAAAUUGUAUAUACAAACAAAAUUAAAGAGCAUUGGUAAAAUGUACAAAAAAAAUUGAGUAACAUUCAAUAUUUAUAAUAAAUAAAACACAAAUAUAAUAUACAAAGCUUUGAUGCCUUGAAUCUUUAGGGCUCUUCAAGCAGCCUUUAAUUUUUGUGAUUGGAUGAGUCUUGGCUGCCGCAAAUUGAAGAAGAAAAAUAUAUAAAAGCAUUUCAGAACAAAUACACACAAAAUAAGCUUCUGCAUGUAAGAAACUUAUAUAAGUUCGUUUCGGGUUUCACAAGUUUAAUCUUUUUAAGUUUGAGAUUUUAAUUUUUGAAUUGCAUCAUUACUAAUAAAAUUAUUUUAAGUAUAAAUUAUUCAGAUUAUUUUGAAUUCAAAUAAAUGUUUUGUUUGAAUCAAUUUAUAUUUGGGCCAAUAAUAAAUGGGUUUAAAUAGCUGAUUUUUUAUGGUCAAAGUGAGUUAAUUAGUUAAAUUUUCGGAUUCAUGUUAGAAUUGACACAUUUAAUUAAAAAUAUUUAAGCAUUAAAAUAAUCAAAAAGUCCCUAAGUUCAACUUACGGACGAAAAUUUAUAUUUUUACUUAGACUUCCCGAUUUUUUCAAAUUCUUAAUUAAGCCUCACAAUAAGUAUUGAAAUUUUCAAAAUUUUCAAAAUUUUCAAAACUUGCCUUUAAUUUUCUCAAAAUUCUUGAUUAAAUCUCUUAAAUUUUAUUUUCGAAAAAAGAAUUUCAUUAAACACAAAAAAUUAAAUAGAUUGAAUCCAACAUCUAGGAGUUACAAAAUUCUCAUAAAUAACAAGAGUUUACAAAAAGACUAGUAAACAAAACUUACUUUUGUUGAUGUAUAGCAUAAUAAGUCUGCAAAGCACCAAGCAAAAGUGCAGUAAUGGCACCCACAAAUGCCAAAAACGUCCAAGGACUCCUAAAAUAAGUAUGAUAACCUUGAGCUGCAUGCUUAAUCCACGUAGUCUUACAAUGAUCAUGUAUUUUCCGUUUAACCCCACUGUAAAUCGGACUAGGAACCAAAUCAGUGUUCAUCUUAUUGAAAAGCUUAGCCACUUCUUCAUCACUCCCCAAUCUAUUGUAUAGUAUGCCGGCGUCUCUCAGGUCUUUAACAUCUUCGGCUUCAUCAAUCAAUAAAUCAAGGAAACACAUAUAUGAAGUGACGGUGAAAUCGUUGUCGAAAUCCGGACACAUUUCGUAAGCUAUUAAGUUCAUGGUUGAAUCAUCGACGGAGAUCGGCGGUAAACAUAAUUUUCCGACGAAUAAGAUACGGUUGAAACUGAUGUCGGUUAAACAACUUGUUUCGCUGGCUUUUAACGAUAUCCCGACUUUUUUAAGCUCUUUUACGUUAUGAAUGGUGUGUGAAUGGCACCAUUUUGUUCCUUCUUCUUUUCUACGUUCUUGUUCAUUUGAACACGGAAAACCCCACCGCCGUGGUUUUUCUUUUUUGAAAAGGAGUCUUACUCGUAGUAGAUGCAAUAAGUGAAUUCGCUCUCCUUGCUUCUACUUCCGCCACCAUUCAUCGGAGCAAAAUCUGUAUCAGUCGAAGCAAACCUAUAAAUUUUUUUGGGGUAAAUUACACUAACAGUCACUCAACUUUGGGGUAGCUAACAAAACAGUCACUCAAGUUUCAGUUCAGUCACUGAACUUCUAAAAAAUAACAAAAUAGACACUAAUGUUAUUGAAAAGUGAUAAAUCAGUCACUCAUUAACAAUUGUCAUCACAGGCUUAAUGUGGUCAAUUAACUAGUUGAUGUGACUAGUUAACUUGCCAUGUUGGACAAGUAGUCAAAGGGUCAAAAAGAAAAAAAGAUGAUUAGUUAAGGGUAAAAAGAAAAAUAAGAGAAAUGGAGAAGAAGAAGAAAAGGAGGAAGAAGGGAAAAUGGAAGUCAAAGGGUCAAAAAGAAAAGAAAAGAUGAUUGGUUAAGGGUAAAAAGGAAAAUAAGAGAAAUGGAAAAGAAGAAGAAAAGAAGAACAGGGUAGGAAGAAGGGAAAAUGGAAGGAGCUUCCAAGCUUCAUACCAACGAUUCCCAAGGGUCAAAAUCUGGGAAUUUGGAUUUUGAUCCUUGGGAAUUACUGUUACGAAGUCCUUCCAUUUUCUCCUCUUCUUCUUUUCUUCUUUUUCUCCAUUUCUUCUCUUAUUCUUCUUCUUUUUUUUGUUCUUCUACUGCCCAAACUUCUUAAAUGGGUUUGUUUAAAUGACAGCUAGCCUACCCUUAAAUGUCAUGUCACUUUUUCGUUACGUCUGUAACGAAAAAUGGUUAAAAAGACUGUUUUGUCAGCUACCCCAAAGUUGAGUGAUUAUUGCUAUAAUUUACCCUAUUUCUUAUUUGAAAUUGUAAAUUUUUAACCAGCUAAAUUUAAGGUUUUCAAAACCCAACUCGUUAAGUUAUCGAUUUAUAAUUCUAAUUGGUCUAAUGAAUUCAUCCGAUUAAUUAAAUUAAUUAUUAAAAAUUUUCCAUUUGAUUGCCCAAUUCAAUUAAUUUUUUUUGGUUCAACCUGUUCAUAUAGAUUCUCAAAUCAAUUGGUCCAAUGACUUCCUUCAGACUAAUACCUUAAUUAAUUUCCAAUCCAAAUCGAUUCAAAUAAUAUUGGCUAAAAUACAAUUUUUAUUAUUUUAUUAAUGCAAAAAUUUUACCAUUUUAAAGAUAUUAAAAUAUAAAAUUUCUAUUUUAAAAAGUUGGAUUUGAAAUCAUAAUUUUUUUUCUAAAGAAAUGUACACUCAACAGGACCAAAGGAAUUGGCAGGGAAAUUUUGUUUUAUGGACCGUUUUCAUCACAAAUGAUCUUAUCAAAUUAAAAGAGGAUAGAUCAUCUUUUUUUUCAUAUCAUAUAUACAUUGGGACUAAACUUCCAAAUAAAAAAUAAUGUGUCUUUUUUUAAUUGAGUGGGACCAUAGAUGAUGUGGUGAAAAUGGUCCAUUAAAUAAUUUAUCACAAGCAAGAGUAAUUCCAAAAAUAGAAAAUUACAUUUUAAUUCUUUAAAAAUUAUUAAAUUAUAAAUUUAUAUAUAAUAAAAUUACACUUUGACCCUCAAAAUGGAAAAAAUAUUUUGUUCAGUCUUUUUAAAAAAAUAUGAACUUAUAAAUCAAUACAUGAAAAAAUUUAAGGAUUCGACAAAACUUAUCGGUCAGGCUAGUUGUUGAGAAAAUUGAACAAGGUAUUGAUCCAGAAUAAGAGAUUAGAUUAGAUGAAUUGAGUCAUCGAAUGGAUUUUCUUUAUAUGUUUAAUAUAUCUUUAAUAUUUUCAAAAACUUAUAUAACUGAAUCGAAUAAACUAAUCAAUCAAAAUUAAGAGUAAUCAAUGUAAAAACCUUUUAACAUUUAUAACCUCGACAAAAUGAUUUUUUUAUUUAUUUUUAAAUUCCUUAAAUUACCUGUCCUCGGCUGGGGUGAUAACAGUGUCGUCGAUGAACCUUAUGAUUGCAUUCAUGAACUGUUCGCCAUCACUCGAGCUAGUAAGCAAUUCAAGAACACGAAAAGGUAUUUGGUUCUCCAACAAUAACAGAUCCGAGUACACAAAUGUAAGCAAAUCGUUUUUAAUAAACUGGCCAUAAAUUUUACAAAUAUCAUCACCGUAACGCAUAUAAACUGCUUGUAAAAUUGCGCAGCCGUCAACGAAGAACAUCCAAGCCAGUUUCUCGUCAUCGUCGCUAUACUUCUCUAAUUCCUGUGGAUCAUAGCAUUUCUUUAAGUCAUCGAUCGCUUUUUUCAUGUUGCUGUACAAGGAAUCCUUAUCGACCUUAAUGUUUUUGACGAAAUGUGCUGCUAAUUUGAGCUUGAGCUCCUUGGAUUCCUGGAGGGUGCGAUCAUCGUGGUGGAGUGGGCCGAUUGAGAUCACUUUCGGCCAGAAAUACUUCUUGAAAUCUUUGUUACGGCGAAGGGUUGAUGGGACUUUUCGGAUCAAUAGAUUGGAUUUGAAUUUGGGUUGGCCGCCCUCGAAAGCUUCGUCUAAUUUUUCGAGAUUCGCUAAUUCGCCACUGCUGAGUUGGACGUCGCCACUGCUGAGAGGGACGUCCGUGCACCGCAUAUCAAUGCUCACGGAAUCGUUGUUGGUGUUGUUGUUGAUGGUUGUUUGAUCAGUGGAAACUGCUCCGACGGCGCCGCCUCCUUCCUCCGUGGACGACAUUUUCAGGGUGAGCGGUUGGAAGUAAUAAACAAGGUGAUUUUGUAAACUGUUCUUGGCUGAGUGAGUGAUGUCGGAGAAAAGGUGGCAAAAUGGCUACGAUGAUGACAAAUAUUUUAUAGCUUACAUAAUAAACAAAUAUGGGAAAUACUUGAGGUGUAAUUUAAAUUUACCCCUUAGUGUUUAUAUUUUUACUAAUAUAAUUUUUAACUUUUAAUUUUUUAAUUAAAUUUAAUUUUCUUUUGAAAGAGUCAAUCUUAAAAAAGAAAAGUUAAAUUAAUGUUUUUUUAACAAAAAUAGUGACAAAUAUAAUAAUUGUCCUUAAGAAGCUAAGACCCUAUGAUUGGGACAUUUACAACACUUAAUAAAUUUCAUACACUUAAAAAUAGCUCCAUGCUUCUUUACAUAUAAUAAUUGCAUUUGUUAUUCUACCUAACUCUUGAAAAAUCUCAAAUUUGCAACCACAUAUUAUUCACAUGCCAACCAACCAAUUUAUUACCCACAUGCCAACCAUUUUUUUUAUUGAAGUUAUUGUACUUAUAACCUUUCACAUAUAACUAUGCUUCUUUAGAUAUGCUAAUUGCAUUUAUUGUUGUACCUCACUCGUGAAAAAUCUCAAACUUGCAACAAAAUAUUAUUCACAUGCCAACCAACCACUUUUUUUAUUGAAGUUAUUAUACUUAUAAGCUUUAUGCUUAUUGUAACACUCUAUGUUUGAUUCGAUCUACAGGACACUAUAGUUAUUGUCAGAGCAACUACAGUCAGAAUUACGAAAAGAUAAUUUGUAUUUAACAUCAAUCAUGAUGCAAUUACAGUAACACAUCAAUUAUGAGCUUUAAUCGAGCUUACGAAAGCUUUUUUGGCAGUUCGAGCAAGAAUUAGGACCAAACAGUAAAGAUUUGAAAAGUUUGGAGCGACUUCGUGACUUCAGCUUUUUCUCAUCGCAACAUGACCAUCUCAGUGUGUCACAUCAUAACGAAAAGCCUAUGCUCAUCACAACGAGACUCUCUGACUUGACAAUGUCACAAUGUCAAGAUUUGUAGUCGUGACGUGGACCCUAUAUUUGGCAAAAAUAUACAAUUUGGUACCUAAUUCAAUGCUCCAACUAAAAUCAUGCAAGAAAAAUACAUUACAUGCCAUUUCUAAAUAACUUAAAACUUACCUAAAACAUGCUAAGUAAGUUCAAACAUAUCAUUUCAAUUCCAUAGCAAUUCAUAUUACCAUUUCAUCAUUUAUAUUCAACUUUUCAAUAACUUACACUAAAUAUCAACAAGUUAUACAAACAUCUACCAUUACCUUUAUCAUGCCAUAAUGAAUCAUUCCAUUUCAAACAAUCAUCACAUUAGUUCUUUUAUUUUUCUUUUUUAGUCAACAUAUGAAAACCAACUUAGAUAGAUCACAUUCCAACUUUCCAAAUGCAUCAAAUAUUUCAUAUUCAUGUACUAACAAAGAUCAUGCCAAGAACCCACAUGCAAAGUCAUUAUAUACCACAUUUAACUCAACAAGACUUUUACACAACCAAAGAUUACUCCAAACGUUUAUAUGCAUGUCGCAAUCCUUGACUCAAAGAUAAUAAAAAAAACCGAAUUGACAAUAGAAUAGUGUAAGCUUCAAACGAUCCAACCGACAUGUUCCACAAUGUAACAACCUAAAAGGAAAAAGAAAACAAUGGGGUAAGCAUAUAAGAUGCUUAGUAACUCAUAUGUAAUCUAAACCUUACCUAGAUUAAUUGAACAUAAACAAUUACUCAAUAAGCUAUCAAAUUUAUUUUUCCAUGGCACUUAGAUAUCGUACAUGUAACAAUAUUUCAAGUCGAAAAUGUUAAAUACAAUGUUGAAUCAUUAUGUCUUCUUUUCGUAAGUUUCACUUAUAGAAAUACAAUAUAGGUUCAAGUACAAAUAUAUGUCUCGAUUAAUCUAGAAAGAACUAGACAAAAUCCACACAUGAUAAACGCAUAUAAUGAGUGUGAGACUCACACAUCACAAUUGAGAAUAAUAUUAUAGAACCAAAAUACUCAACAACCCAAAACCUUUGCGUUAACCAAGAAGCUAAGACCCUAUCAGAGGGAGAAUUUUAUAUCUACAACACUUAUUAAAUUUCAUUAGCUUAAUAAUAUAUAUUCAAAUAUUUAACAUUGUAACCAUGCUUCUUUUCAUAUAGUAAUUGCAUUUGUUAUUCUACCCAACUUAUGAAAAAUCUCAAAUAUAUAUUUUCAUUUUAUUACUUAAAUUAUUAUUACUUACUUUAAUAUUUAAAUUAUCAUUAUAUUACAUGAUUUGUUCCAAAUAUUUAACAUUGUAACGAUGCUUCUUUAAAUAUAGUAAUUGCAUUUGUUAUUCUACCUAACUCAUGAAAAAUCUCAAAUUUGCAACAUGUUAUUCACAUGCCAACCAACCAAUUUAUUAUUCACAUUCCAACUUUCUAAAUGCAUCAAAUAUUUCAUAUUCAUGUACUAACAAAGAUCAUGCCAAGAACCCACAUGCAGAGUCAUUAUAUACCACAUUUAACUCAACAAGACUUUUACACAACCAAAGAUUACUCCAAACGUUUAUAUGCAUGUCGCAAUCCUUGACUCAAAUGAUAAAAAAAACACCAAAUUGACAAUAAAAUAGUGUAAGCUUUGAACGAUCCAAUCGACAUGUUCCACAAUGUAACACCUAAAAGGAAAAAGAAAACAAUGGGGUAAGCAUAUAAGAUGCUUAGUAAACUCAUAUGUAAUCUAAAACUUACCUAGAUUAAUUGAACAUAAACAAUUACUCAAUAAGCUAUCAAAUUUAUUUUUCCAUGGCACGUAGAUAUCGUAUAUGUAACAACAUUUCAAGUCGAAAAUGUUAAAUACAAUGUUGAAUCAUUAUGUCUUCUUUUCUUAAGUUUCACUUAUAGAAAUACAAUAUAGGUUCAAGUACAAAUAUAUGUCUCGAUUAAUCUAGAAAGAACUAGACAAAAUUCACAUAUGAUAUAGGCAUAUAAUGAGUGUGAGACUCACACAUCACAAUUGAGAAUAAUGUUAUAGAAAACCUUUGCGUUAAGCAAGAAGCUAAGACCCUAUCGGAGGGAGAAUUUUAUAUCUACAACACUUCUUAAAUUUCAUUAGCUUAAUAAUAGCUAUUCAAAUAUUUAACAUUGUAACCAUGCUUCUUUUCAUAUAGUAAUUGCAUUUGUUAUUCUACCCAACUUAUGAAAAAUCUCAAAUUUGCAAUUUAUUAUUCACAUGCCAAACAACCAAUUUAUUAUUCCAACCAACCAAUUUAUUAUUCACGUGCCAACCAAUUUGUUUUAUCGAAGUUAUUAUACUUAUAAGCUUUCACAUAUAACCAUGCUUCUUUACAUAUAUUAAUUGCAUUUAUUGUUGUACCUCAUGAAAAUUUUCAAAUUUGCAACAACAUAUUAUUCGCAUGCCAACCAACCACUUUUUUUUAUUGAAGUUAUUAUACUUAUAAGCAUUCACAUUUAACCAUGCUUCUUGUAACACUUUUCAUUGGAUCCAAUCGUUGGGUCCGAUCUACAAGACGCUAUAGUCAUUGUCAAAGCAACUACAGUCGAAAUUACGAUAAGAUAAUUUUCAUUUAAACAUUAAGCAAGAUUCAACUACAGUAAUACAUUAAUUAUGAGUUUUAAUCGAGCUUACAAAAGCUUUUUUGGUAGUUCGAACAAGAAUUAGGACCAAACUAUAAAGAUUUGAAAAGUUUGGAGCGACGUCACAACUUCAGCUUUUCCUCAUCGCAACAUGACCAUCUCAGUAUGUCACAUCAUAUCGAAAAGCCUAUGCUCGUCGUGGCGAGACUCUUUGACUUGGCAAUGUCGCAAUGUCAAAAUUUGUAGCCGUUAUGUAAACCCUAUAUUUGACAAAAAUAUACAAUUUGGUACCUAAAUCAAAGCUCCAACUAAAAUCAUGCAAGAAAAAUACAUUACAUGCCAUUUCUAAAUGACUUAAAACUUACCUAAAACAUGCUAAGUAAGUUCAAACAUAUCAUUUCAAUUCCAUAGAAAUUCAUAAAACUUACCUAAAACAUGCUAAGUAAGUUCAAACAUAUCAUUUCAAUUCCAUAGCAAUUCAUAUUACCAUUUCAUCCAUUGUAUUCAACUUUUCAAUAACUUUAACUAAAUAUCAACAAGUUAUACAAACAUCUACCAUUACCUUUAUCAUGCCAUAAUGAAUCAUUUCAUUUCAAACAAUCAUCACAUUAGUUCUUUAAUUUUUCUUUUUUAGUCAACAUAUGCAAACCAACUUAAAUAGAUCACAUUCCAACUUUCCAAAUGCAUCAAAUAUUUCAUAUUCAUGUACUAACAAAGAUCAUGCCAAGAACCCACAUGCAAAGUCAUUAUAUACCAAAUUUAACUCAACAAGACUUUUACACAACCAAAGAUUACUCCAAAUGUUUAUAUGCAUGUCGCAAUCCUUGACUCAAAUGAUAAAAAAAAACUACCAAUUUGACGAUAAAAUAGUUUAAGCUUAAAACGAUCCAACUGACGUGUUUUUUUUUUUGCUCAAUCAAGAUAUUAUAGCUUUCAGCAUUUGUAGAAAUGCUAGCAUUCUACAAAUACAAGAUAACCCUUUCCCAAGAUCAGCAAACCGAGCACAAUCAAGUUGAGCCGACGUGUUCUGCAAGGUAACAACCUAAAAGAAAAAAAGAAACAACGGGAUACGCAUAUGAUAUGUUUAGUAAGCUCAUAUGGAAACUAAAACUUACCUAGAUCAAUUGAACAUAAAAAAUUACUCAAUAAGCUAUUGAAUUAAUUUUUCCUUGGCACUUAUAUACAUAUAGUACAUGUAACAACAUUUCUGUUAAAGAAAAGUAAUUUGACUUUUUUUCUGAAAAGUUAAUGGCUAAAUUUAGCUCAAAUAAAAAAGAAAAAACAAAAGCCAAUUUGGCAGAAAAUAUAAAUAUUGAGGAUAAAAUUUAUCAUUAUGUCUUUUUUUUUUAAGUAAUUAUUUGUGGUGGGCCAUCAUGUUUGACAAUGAUUUUUAAAUACUGUGUUAAUUGUAUAUAGCACAUCAUGUUUGACAAUAAUUUUUAAAGACUUUUAAACAUCGCGUUAAUUGUUUAUGGCCCAUUGCCCAUAUUGCUUUUAUUAAAUUUUGGGUAAACUUCAAGUUAAUCAUUUAAUUUUUAUAAAAUUUCACUUUGGUGAAAAAAAAAUUGUAUGGGAUGGGAGUCUCAGGAUAAAACAAAAAUUAGGAUAAAUGUAAUGCUGAAAUGAAUAUACUGGGAAUCUUUAAUGUUUAUGGCCAAACCCCACCUCUCCUAUCCUAUACUUCAUCUAUAAUAAUGGUUCUUGGCUUCUUCUAUUCUAUACCUCAAUUAUUUGGAUUAGAUUGAAAAACAAUUGACACUUGAUUUGAUUGUGAAAGAAGUUUUAGUUUAAUGAUAUGAUUGAGUUAAAAUUUAAAUUUAUAAUAUUUAACUUGAGUGUGAGUGAAUUUUUGACUUAAUUCAAAAUUUAAAAUAAUAAGUUCGAGUUUUAUUUAAUUAUGUGUGUAUAUCAUGUAUAAAUUUUAUUUAAAUUUAUUUUGAUUUAAUUCUCAUACUAUAUAUUCUUAAUUAAAUUCGGAAUAUAUUUUAAUUAUCAAUUUAAUUAUACAUUAUAACGAUGGAUUUGGAUAACAAAAUUCAGUUUACAAAAAGACAAAGUAAAGAACACUUACUUCGGUUGAUGUAUGGUAUAAUAAGUCUGCAAAGCACUAAGAGUAAGUGCAGCAAGGGCACCCAAAAAUGCCAAAAACGUCCAAGGCCUCCUAAAAUAAGUAUGAUAACCUUGAGCUGCAUGAUUAAUCCACAUAGUCUUACAAUGAUUAUGUAUUUUCUCUUUAACCCCACUGUAAAUCAUCUGACUAGGAACUAAAUCAGUGUUCAUCUUAUUGAAAAGUUUAGCCACCACUUCAUCACUCCCCAAUCUAUUGUAUAGUAUACCGGCGUCUCUUAGGUCUUUAACAUCUUCGGCUUCAUCGAUCAAUAAAUCAAGGAAACACAUAUAAGAAGUGACGGUGAAAUCGUUGUCGAAAUCCGGACACAUUUCGUAAGCUAUUAAGUUCAUGGUUGAAUCAUCAACGGUGAUUGGCGAUAACCGUAAUUUUCCAAAGAAGAUAUGGUUGAAACUGAUGUCGGUUAAACAACUUGUUUUGCUGCCUUUUAACAGUAUCCCGGCCUUUUUAAGCUCUUUUACGUUACCAAUGGUGUGUGAAUGGUGCCGUUUUGUUCUUGCUUCGUUGCUAGAUCCGUGUUCAGUGAUUGACCACAAACGGCACCACCACGGUUUUCCUUUUCCUACAAGGAGUCUUACUCGUAGUACAUUCAAUAAGUGAAUUCGCUCUCCUUGGUGCAGCUCCCACCACCAUUCACUACACCAAAAUCUGUGUUAGUCGGAAGCCAAGUUAUAAUUUAUCUUUUCAUUUUUUUCUUUUUGUUUGGAUUUGCAAUUGUUAAUUUUCAUGAAGCUAAAAUUAAUAUUUUCAAAAUAGAUAAUUCAACGAUUAAGUUAUUGAUUUAUAAAUUUCAAUUUAUUUGAUUUAAUUAAAUAAAUUAUUAAAAAUUUCGAUUCAAUAACACGGUUUAAAUAAAAAUUUUUACUCUAUUCAUAUAAAUUUUUAAAUCGGCCCGUCUAAUGACUUUCUCCUAAUUGAUGUCUCAAUUAAUUUUCAAUCCAAAUCGAUAUUAGCUAAAAUACAAUUUUUUAUUAUUGUAUUAAUGCAAAAAUCUUACCAUUUUUAAGAUAUUAAACUUUUCCAUUUUGGAAAGUUGGAUUUGAAAUCAUAAUUUUUCAUUUCUAAAUAAUGUACACUCAACAGGAUAAAUGCAAACCGACAGGCAGGGGUCGUUCCCAAGAAAUAAAAAUUUACACUUUAAUCCCUUUAAAAAUUAUUAAAUUAUAAUAAGUCAUCAAAUUAAAAAGAAAAAAAUUUAAGGAUCAGACUAUACUUGUUAAUCAGGUUAGUUAGAUAAAAAAUCGAGUAAAAUUAGAAUUAGACUAAUUGAAUCAAAGAAUCGAAUCACUUUUUUUAUAUUUUUAAUAAUUUCAAAAAAUUAUAUAAUUAAACUGAAUCAACUUAUAAUCCAGAAAAGAGAGUCUAAUAUUUUUAAUAAUUUCAAAGAUUCCAUCACCCAUCUAGUUAUAAAAACCUUUUAACAUUUAUAAACUCCACAAAAAUGAUUCUUUAAUUCCGUAAAUUGGCACAAGAUGCGCCCCAUGGAGGUCUAUCGAUUAGAUGGGGGACAUUUAGCCCACAAGAACUGGCCUGAUUCGGAGAGCUACUAAAGAAGCCUAUCAGAUUAAAGCCUGGUUGGCCCAAUGAUGAAGACAUGACAACUUAGGCAAUUUUGGUAACUAAUCUUAGAAGAUAGAAUAGAAUCAUAUCUUGUAAGAUUAGAUUAGAUUUGAUAUGGCAAAUCUUGUAAAUCCCUAAAAUCAAGGGAUAUAGUGAAUCUCAUCCGUCGAUGUACAUGUAUCUUGAUCGUCGGUUCUGGGGGAGCUCAACUAUAAAUAGAGAGCCUCCCCCUCACUUGUAAAUCAUCCAUUGUAGCUUGAAUUCUUAAGAGUAAUAGAAUUCUUGAGCAUUUACUCAAACACUUUGUGAGCUUUCUUUCUUUAGCUUUCUGUUGUUCUCUUGUGGCUUCUUUUGGCACAAUCGCUUCCGCUAUACAAAUUGGUGCCUUGGAGGAGUUCUAAAAGAAUCCUCUCUUUUGGGAGUUAAGGCUGACUUGGGCAAGUUUGGAUGAACGGAUCGCCUAAGGCCGUACGGAUUGCGAGACGAAAGGUCUAGCCCCGUGACAAGUGGUAUCCGAGCCAAGUUUUGAACCAAGUUAUAUUCGAGUGGUUCGAAGGCACUGUUGGGAUGUCGAAAGAAGUCGUCGGUCAGAGUGAACCAAUGGAGACCCGUGGGAGGGCUAGAAAAGCCAAUCACUCGAGGGAAAUGCUGACAGCUUUGGAGAACCGAGUGGUCAAUCUCGAGGAAUCCGUAGGAAAUGUGAAAGAGACGCUUGAAUUGGUCGAGGGACGCACAGAUGGGUUGGACUCAAUGGAGGAGCAACUCAGAGAUUUUGUGUUGGAUUCUCUUGGUGCAAAUAGGGAAAAGAUAACGGAAUUACUCGAGUCCACUGAGGUAAAGCUAGCAGAGAGGGAUGAAGCUCUCGAGGAUAUGGUGCUAGCCAUGCAAAAAGAAAUGGAGGAGCUUAAGGGGGAGCUCACGAUCUACAAAGCCGCUUUGAGUAAUGGGAUGUUGUCUUCAAGGCCGAAGCAACAAGCAAUGGAUGUGAAUCAAAAUUGGGAUGCUGAUGAUGAUCGUGGAAGGACACAGGAACGACAUCCUCGUGAUAAAUUUAAGGGUAGAUUGAAGUCUUCAAAUAGAGGUAAAACUUGUAACUUCUGCAAAAAGAAAAGACACGUUAAAUCUGAGUACUAUAAGCUACAUAACAAUAUCAAAAGGGGGGCUGUGAAUCAAAAUGGAAAACAACUAGAAAAUUUUGGUAAAGUUGAUGUUGUAGAAAACUACAACGAUGGUGAACUUCUAGUUGCUUCUGCCAACAAUUCUAAAGUUAGCGAGGAGUGGAUCCUUGAUUCGGGCUGCACCUUCCACAUAAGUCCCAAUUGGGAUUGGUUUACAACUUACAAAACAGUGUUUGAAGGUGUUGUUUUAAUGGGAAAUAAUACUUUAUGUUGAAUCAUAGGUGUUGGAAGAAUUAAAGUUAAGAUGUUUGAUGGAGUUGUCAGAACACUUAGUGACGUACGACAUGUUCCAAAAUUUAAGAGAAAUUUAAUUUCGUUGAGUACUCUUGACUCAAAAGGGUACAAAUAUACAGCUAGAAGUGGGGUUUUGAAGAUUUCCACAGGUUCCCUCGUUGUGAUGAAUGGGUAGAGAAAGACUACCAAGUUAUAUGUUUUGCAGGGUUUUACUGUUACUGGUGAUGCAACUGUCGCAUCCUCUUCUUUGUCAAAUGAUGAUAUUACUAAACUAUGGCAUAUGUACCUAGGGCAUAUGAGUAAGAAUGACAUGGUAGAAUUGAGCAAAAGAGGACUUCUUAAUGGGCAAGGAAUUUGCAAACUGAAAUUCUGUGAGCACUGCAUUUUUUGGAAGCAAAAGAGAGUUCGAUUCACUAGAGGAAUCCAUAACAUGAAAGGAAUGUUAGAGUAUAUUCAUUUUGAUUUUUGGGGGCCAUCUAGAGUGCAUUCGAGAGGUGGAGCUAAUUAUAUGCUAACUUUUAUUGAUGAUUUUUCCAGAAAAGUGUGGGUGUUCUACCUGAAGCAGAAAAGCGAUGUGUUUUUCACUUUUGAGUCUUGGAAAACUAUAAUUGAAAAACAGACGAGAAAACAAAUAAAAUACCUCCGCACAGAUAAUGGCUUAGAGUUCUAAUCUGAUGAGUUUAAUAAACUGUGUAAGUCAGAAGGGAUAGUGAGACACUUGACAGUUCGUCAUACUCCACAGUAAAAUGGUGUUGCAAAAUGAAUGAACAAAACUAUCAUGGAGAAGGUUCGAUAUAUGUUGUCAAAUGCCAACUUACCAAAGUCAUUUUGGGCCGAAGCAGCCUCUACUACAUGUUUUUUAAUCAACUGAUCUCCAUCUGUUGCCAUUAAGAAAAAGACUCCACAAUAGGUAUGGUUUGGUAUUCUUGCUAACUAUUCUGAUUUAAAGAUUUUUAGGUGUCCUGCAUAUGCUCAUGUUGAUAAUGGAAAAUUGGAAUCGAGAUUCAUUAAAUGUAUUUUUCUUGGUUAUAAAGCUGGUGUAAAAAGGUAUAAGUUAUGGUGUCCUGAAAAUAGAAAAGUUGUGAUUAGCAAAGAUGUUGUUUUUGAUGAAACUGCUAUGCUACCUAACUUAUCUCUUAAAGACUCUUCCAAUAAAAAAAAAUCAAAAGCAGGUGGAGCAUCAGAUUAAUCCAGAACCCACAACAGAGUCAACUCCUCAAGCCAGUACAAAAAUUCAAAAUAGAGUUGCUUCUUCACCAUAAUACUCAAUCGCCAAAAACAAAACUAGAAGAGAAAUUAAACCUUCAAAGAAGUAUGCCGAGGCUGAUUUAGUUGCUUAUGCUUUAAAUGUGGCUGAAGAUAUAGAUGCAAACUAAGAGCCAUCUAAUUAUUCUGAUGCUUAUGCUUUAAAUGUGACUGAAGAUAUAGAUGCUUUAAAUUUCGGGAGUGGACUUCACAGAUAUGUUUUCUCCAGUUGUGAAGUAUAGGUCUAUUCGAGCUUUUGUUGGUAUUGUGGCAAUGCAUGAUUUGGAGUUUUUACGUGUAAAAACUGCUAAUUUAUUUUCGUCCCCAAAACAUUUUUGGCUUAUACCUUGAAUGUGGAUCAAAAAAGAAAGUCUAGAGACUGAUAAGUGCUAAAAGUAACAUGUUUUAAUCUCAUUUUUAGUGUGUUUUUGGAUAAUUAUUCGAUUUAAAAUGGUGAAAUUUAUGCUCCUAAUCCUUUAAUUUAUGUUUCUAUACUUAGGAAAGGAUUUGGGAGCAAAAGGAACGAAAAUCGAAAAAUUGGAGCAAGUUUCAAGAGACAACUGGUUGGGCCAUUCUACAUGGCCAGGACACACGGCCGUGUGAGCUACACAGGCUUCCACACAGCCAAAUGCCAGACCAUGUGCAAAUCACAAAUCGCACUCCAAACCUACAGGAAAGCACAUUUUUUUAGGUAAGCAUAUUUUAUAGGUUUUUCAGGCAUUCUAAGACUUAUAUAUGAAAAAAAUAAGAAGAUGGGAGGGAACCGCCAUAGAAUAUUGAAGAAACAAAACUCAAAAAACACCAUUAAAGCUGACUCUGAAGCAGAUUUUCAUCAAGAUUGAAGAUCUCCUUUUGAUUUCUUUGAAGUUUAUUAUGAGUUCCUUUAUUUCUUGUGGUUAUCCUGUUUUUAGGAUGUUUUUAUUUGCUAUCAUGAACUAAUUUUCUAAAUACCUAUAGAGAUGAACCCUAGGAUGGAUUCUGUUAUUUGAUUUCUAUUUUUAUGCAAUAAAUACUUGAAUCUUGUUCUAAAUUUUGAGUGUUUAACUAUUGGUUUAAUAUUUCUAGGCUACUAGUCCAUGUUUGAUGUGCUUAAAUCAGAGGAUGGAUAGACCUAUUUAAGAGUAGAUCUAGCGUAAUUGAGUGAAGUUGCAUACAAUCUUAGAAAUAGGAUGGCAUAAAUAUACCAUAUUAGAGUCAAAUCUAAUAGGGGGAUCCAUAGAUCGAAUUAAUGUGAUAAUAGGAGUUUUAAUUAAAAAGAAAUUUCAAUUAAUCAGCCUAGAGUCAGUUGCUCUUAGUCUUGAAGAGAGAUAUUAUAAUAUUUAGGGAUUUCUAUGGAUCAAGCUACUAGUACUUUUACUAUGAAUCUCUUAGAAAAGAGUUGAAUUAAUAUUUUUUAACAAAAUAGUGACUGAAAUAUUAAAUUUUAAACAUGAUAACUCAUAUGACAAUCUACGUGUAUAUGUUUUCUUAUUUUAAAAUUAUUUGUUGACGUGGUAUAUAAGAAAAGUCAUGUUAUGUUAGCAUGAAAUGCACAUGGAUUGUCACACGAGUUGUAACACGAGCACUGUUAAAAAUUUAAUGUUUUAGUCAAUAUUUAUGUUAAAGAAAAGUAAGUUGACUAUUUUUUGAAAGGUUAAUGGCUAAAUUUAACUCAAAAUAAUAAUAAUAAAGAAUAGAGACUAAUUUCACAAAAAAUGUAAAUGUCAAAGGCUAAAUUUAAAAUUCUUAAAUGAUGACAUGACAUAAUCUCAAAGUGUCACGCUAUCACUCUUUGAUAGAAUUCAAGUUCAUGGACUAAAUCAAAAAAAAAUUGUUAAGUUCUGUUAUUAACCAUUUCUUUGUUCUUCAUUUUUUUCCUUUUGCUUUUUAGGUUCCAUAAUAAAAAAAUGGAUGGGAAAUUUCUAAAAUCAUUAGAAACAAGAAAAUAUGAUCUCAAAUCCAAUAAAUUACCCAAUCAAGUUACAGAGACUUAGGACCUGGCUAUGGGUGAAUUCAUCCCCUACAUUUUAGUAGGCACAGGUGGAUUUCAAGAACACAAAUAAUUAAAUUGGCUAAAUUUAUUCAUAUCCACCAAAUUAUUGGAAUUUUCAAAUAUAUUCAAAAAAUUAGAAGAGACAUUGGAUGAAACCACAAACAAAAUCAAAUUGAAAGAAAAGCAAAAUGACAUGGAAGGAGUAAAAGAAAAUAUGACUAAAUUGCCUGAAAAAUUAGCACGUAUGUUAAGCAACAUUAAUGAUAAAACACAUAGGAUACAACAACUACAUAUUUUUCACAUGCCAACCAACCAAUUUAUUUUUGUCCUUUUUGGUGUAAUUAAGGUAAAAUGAAUUUAAUUAUCUUUCAUAGAGUAAAUAAUCUUACCAACCAACCAACAACCAAUUUAUUAUUCACAUGCCAACCAACCUAUCUAUUUUUGUCCUUUUUGGUGUAAUUAAGGUAAAAUAAUCAGAUCCUAAGAGAUUGUUUGCAAGUCAAGUUAAACAAAAUAUAUCUUCUUUCUAGAAGAUUUAGUAUUUAUGAGUAUAAUAUAUUUAGCAUUUAUUAGCAUAAUAUAUUUGACUUUGAUUAGAAUUAGAUUUUUUUCAACCUAUAAAAGAUAUAAUCGAAACUCCUCUUGAAAUCAUUCGAAUUCGACAUAGUGAAUUUUCUUUUCCUCUGCCGGUGGUUUUUUACCCGAACGGGUUUCGACGUAAAAAUUUGUGUGCUUUUUAUUUUAUUUUUCUUUUCUUUGUGAUAUAUUAUCAUUGCUGACGUUCUAUUUUUUACAAAUUGGUAUCCGAGCUUCCAGGUUGUUCAUCUCAAUCAUGGUAAUGGCGUCUUUAAAGUUUGAAAUUUCACUGUUGGAUCGCAACACUAGAUUUGUGUUGUGGCAGAUAAAGAUGCAAGUAGUUCUUGCACAGAUGGACUUAGAGGAAGCCUUGCUGUGGUAGAUAAGAUGCCUUCAACAUUGACGGUGGAAGAGAAGAAGCGCAAGGAUCGAAAGGCGUUAACACAGUUACAUCUGCAUUUGUCUAACGAAAUUUUACAGGAUGUGAUAAAUGAGAAGACCGCCGCUGGAUUAUGGAAGAGGUUGGAACAAAUAUGUAUGUCGAAAACUCUAACUAGCAAGCUGCAUAUGGAGCAGCGUCUUUAUGCUCAUUGUUUGGAGGAAGGUGUAUCUGUGCAUGAACACUUAACAGUGUUUAAAGAAAUUCUCUCAAGCUUGGAGGCCAUGGAGAUUUAGUAUGAUAGGGAAGAUCUAAGGUUGAUUCUACUUUAUUCGUUGACCCCGUCUUAUUCAACCUUUAGAGAUAUGAUUUUAUAUAACCGCUAGUCUCUCACAGUUGAUAAGGUUUAUGAUUCUUUAACCUCGUAUCAUAAGAUUAAGUAUCUUGUUGUUAAAAUCAACUCUUAGGGAGAGGGUCUCAUGGUUCGUGAGAGACACAAUCGGGAUGUUGAUGAUGAUCGUGGAAGGACACAGGAAUGACAUCCUCGUGAUAAAUUUAAGGGUAGAUUGAAGUCUUCAAAUAGAUGUAAAACUUGUAACUUCUGCAAAAAGAAAAGACACGUUAAAUCUGAGUACUAUAAGUUACAUAACAAUAUCAAAAGGGGGGUUGUGAAUCAAAAUGGAAAACAACUAGAAAAUUUUGGUAAAGCUGAUGUUGUAGAAAACUACAACGAUGGUGAACUUCUAGUCGCUUCUGCCAACAAUUCUAAAGUUAGCGAGGAGUGGAUCCUUGAUUCGGGCUGCACCUUCCACAUAAGUCCCAAUUGGGAUUGGUUUACAACUUACGAAACAGUGUUUGAAGGUGUUGUUUUAAUGGGAAAUAAUACUUUAUGUUGAAUCAUAGGUAUUGGAAGAAUUAAAGUUAAGAUGUUUGAUGGAGUUGUCAGAACACUUAGUGACGUACGACAUGUUCCAAAAUUUAAGAGAAAUUUAAUUUCGUUGAGUACUCUUGACUCAAAAGGGUACAAAUACACAGCUAGAAGUGGGGUUUUGAAGAUUUCCACAGGUUCCCUCGUUGUGAUGAAUGGGUAGAGAAAGACUACCAAGUUAUAUGUUUUGCAGGGUUUUACUGUUACUGGUGAUGCAACUGUCGCAUCCUCUUCUUUGUCAAAUGAUGAUAUUACUAAACUAUGGCAUAUGUACCUAGGGCAUAUGAGUAAGAAUGACAUGGUAGAAUUGAGCAAAAGAGGACUUCUUGAUGGGCAAGGAAUUUGCAAACUGAAAUUCUGUGAGCACUGCAUUUUUUGGAAGCAAAAGAGAGUUCGAUUCACUAGAGGAAUCCAUAACAUGAAAAGAACGUUAGAGUAUAUUCAUUUUGAUUUGUGGGGGCCAUCUAGAGUGCCUUCGAGAGGUGGAGCUAAUUAUAUGCUAGUUUUUAUUAAUGAUUUUUCCAGAAAAGUGUGGGCGUUCUACCUGAAGCAGAAAAGCGAUGUAUUUUCGCUUUUGAGUCUUGGAAAACUAUGAUUAAAAAACAAAAGGAAAACAAAUAAAAUACCUCUGCUCAGAUAAUGGUUAGAGUUCUGCUCUGAUGAGUUUAAUAAACUGUGCAAGUCAGAAGGGAUAGUGAGACACUUGACAGUUCGUUAUACUCCACAGUAAAAUGCUGUUGCAGGAUGAAUGAACAAAACUAUCAUGGAGAAGGUUCGAUAUAUGUCGUCAAAUGCCAACUUACCAAAGUCAUUUUGGGCUGAAGCAGCCUCUACUACAUGUUUUUUAAUCAACCGAUCUCCAUCCGUUGCCAUUAAGAAAAAGACUCCACAAUAGGUAUGGUCUGGUAAUCUUGCUAACUAUUCUUAUUUAAAUAUUUUUGGGUGUCCUGUAUAUGCUCAUGUUGAUAAUGAAAAAUUGGAAUCGAGAUUCAUUAAAUUUAUUUUUCUUGGUUAUAAAGCUGGUGUAAAAAGGUAUAAGUUAUGGUGUCCUGAAAAUAGAACAGUUGUGAUUAGCAAAGAUGUUGUUUUUUUAUGAAACUGCUAUGCUACCUAACUUAUCUCUUAAAGACUCUUCCAAUAAAAAAAAUCAAAAACAGGUGGAGCAUCAGAUUAAUUUAGAAUCCACAACAAAGUCGACUCCUCAAGCCAGUACAAAAAUUCAAAAUAGAGUUGCUUCUUCACCAUAAUACUCUAUCGCCAAAAACAAAACUAGAAAAGAAAUUAAACCUCUAAAGAAGUAUGUCGAAGGCUGAUCUAGUUACUUAUUCUUUAAAUGUGACUGAAGAUAUAGAUGCAAACCAAGAGCCAUCUAAUUAUUCUGAUACGAUUAGCUUGAAGACUCAGAAAAGUGGAUGUUUGUUAUGUAAGAGGAGAUGAAAUCACUCCACAAAAAUCAAACAUUGGAUCUUAUGAAACUUUCUAAAAAUAAAAAGGUUGUUCGUUGUAAAUGGGUGUUUAAAAAGAAAGAGGGGACUCUAGGAGUUGAAGAACCCAGAUAUAAAGCAAGGCUUGUUGCAAAGGGUUAUAGUCAAAUUUCGGGAGUGGACUUCACAGAUAUGUUCUCUCCAGUUGUGAAGCAUAGGUCUAUUCGAGCUUUGCUUGGUAUUGUGGCAUUGCAUGAUUUCUUAAGCAGUUAGAUGUAAAAACUGCAUUUUUACAUGGAGAAUUUGAGGAGGAUAUUUACAUGCAACAACCAGAGGGUUUUACAAUCUCAGAAAAAGAGGACUAUGUUUGCUUGCUGAAACAGUCCAUUUACGAUUUGAAACAGUCAUCAAGACAGUGGUAAAAGAGGUUUGAUUCCUUUAUGACUUCUUAUGAUUUUAAAAGAAGUAGCUUUGAUAGUUGUGUUUACUUUAAGAAAAACAGUGAUGGUUCUUUUGUUUAUCUACUCCUUUAUGUUGAUGACAUGUUGAUAGUAGCGAAAGAUAAAUGAGAGAUAAGAAAUGUCAAAUUCUAAUUAAGUGAAGAAUUUGAGAUGAAAUAUUUGGGACUAGCAAAGAAGAUAUUUGGCAUGGAGAUUCUUAGAGAUAGAAAAGCAAGUAAAUUGUACCUAAGUCAGAAGGGGUAUAUUGAGAAAGUUCUUUGCAGAUUCAAUAUGCAGAAUACUAAGCCUGUUAGUACUCUUUUAGCAGCCCAUUUUAGAGUUUUAUCGACUUUGUCUCCACAAUCAGAUGAUGAGAUUGAGUACAUGUCACAUGUUCCAUACUCUAGUGUAAUGGGAUCUCUCAAGUAUGCUAUAGUUUGUCCACGUGUAGAUUUAUCAUAUGCAGUCAGUGCAGUUAGUAGAUACAUGGCGAAUCCCGAUAAAGAACAUUAGAAAGCAGUUCAGUGGAUUUUAAGAUACUUACGAGGUACUACUGAUAUUUGCUUAUAGUUUGGAAGAACUAGAGAUGGAGACAUUGGGUAUGUUGAUACUGAUUUUGCUGGAGACCUUGAUAGAAGAAGAUCUCUCACAGGUUAUGUAUUUACAAUCGAAGGUUGUGCAAUCAGUUGGAAAGCCACUUUGCAACCCACAGUUGCUUUGUCUACCAUUGAAGCUGAGUACAUGACGAUUACUGAUACUUGUAAAGAAGCUAUUUGGUUGAAGGGACUUUUUAGUGAACUCAAUGAAAACCUUCAAAUCAGUACAGUAUUUUGUGACAGUUAAAGUGCCAUCUUCCUUACAAAAGAUCAAAUGUUUCGUGAGAAAACAAAACACAUCGAUGUUCGGUAUUAUUUUGUUCGUGUUAUUAUUGCUCGUGUUGAAAUUGUUGUGACCACAAUUAGUACUCAUGAAAAUCCUACAGAGAUGAUGACUAAGUCAUUUCUUAUAACCAAUUUUGAGCAUUGCUUAGACUUGAUUGGUGUUCAUUGUUGAAAUUAAACCCUUAAGGGGUUUUAUGGAAGAGGUGGAGAACUUGUUCGUUGAGAGUUCGCGAUAAAGAACUUGUUCAUUGAGAAUUCGUGUCAAGGUGGAGAUUGUUAGAGUUUUGUGACCCAAAUUCUAAAAGAUUGCUUGCAAGUCAAGUUAAACAAAAUAUAUCUUCUUUCUAGAAAUUUUAGUAUUUAUGAGUAUAAUAUAUUUAGCAUUUAUUAGCAUAAUAUAUUCGACUUUGAUUAGAAUUAAGUUUUUUUCAACCUAUAAAUAGAUGUAGUUGAAACUCCUCUUGAAAUCAUUCGAAUUCGACAUAAUGAAUUUUCUUCUCCUCUGCCCAUGGUUUUUUUCCCGCAAGGGUUUCCACGUAAAAAUCUGUGUUCUUUAUUUUAUUUCUCUUUUCUUUGUGAUAUAUUGUCAUUGCCAAUGUUUUAUUUUUAACACAUAGAUUAAAUAAUCUUACCAACCAACCAAUUUAUUUUUGUCCUUUUUGGUGGGCUUUCGAGUCUACAAGACAGGUAGCAAUAGUUAUUGAGGAGCUAGUCACGUUUUAAAUAUUUUCUUCUAAGUAAGCACAACAACAUUAAGAAAUUUAUUUUUUAGAGUCUAUAUAAGGAAAAGGGCCUUAGGAUUUUCUAGUGCCACACUCACUUCAACAACAGACACUUCAAAUUUUCAAGCAUACAACAGCAGCAGCAGCCAGCGAACUAAUCAAUUGUUUUUAAGUACUAAUAUUUAGGGAUAAAGUAAUAGUUAAUUAUCUGAAUAUUUUAUAAUAGGGACGAAGUUAUAAAAGAAGUUGAAUUAGAUAUCUUUAUACAAGUUAAAAUACAAUUUAAUCAUAUUGGUUUGUAAUUUUACAUAUUUUAAAGGGAUUAGAUCAAAAUUUUAUCAUUUUGGAGGUUGAGAUGAAAUUUUACCGUGUAUUAACAUGUAAAAUUAUAACUUUUAAAGGCACCCAAAACAUAAAUUUCCAUUUUAGGUGGCCGAAGCCUUGGUUAUUUAUCUACUUUGAUCUUUGAACUUCUUUUUGUCUAAAUUAAUUCGAAAAUUUGAUAGUUUUUCCUAGUUUAGUCCUUGAACCUUGGGUUAUGCUACAUCAUCACUUGUAUUUUUUAUUAAAAAUAAUAAUAAUUUCUUUUUCAUUCUUUUUAGAUUUUAUUUAAGUUUUUUAAAAUUUUCAAAUGAUGACGUGACAAAAUCUUAAAGUGGCAUGCUAUCGCUCUUUAACGGAAUCCAAGUCCAUGGACUAAAUAAAAAAAUUGUUAAGUUCAAAGACUAAAUAUUAUUUUAUCCCUAAUAUUAGUUACCCUGUUUUAGAAGUUGAUUGAAUUUCUUGCUUGCUUACUUUUGUUAUUAACCGUUGCUUUGUUCUUCUUCUUCUUCUUCUUUUUAAUUUUAGGUCCCGUAAUUGAAAAAAGAUGCAUGAGAAAUUUCUAAAAUCAUUAGAAACAAGAAAAUAUGAUCUCAAAUCCAGUGAUUUACCCAUAUCAAGUUACAGAGACUUGGGCCCCGGCUAUGGUGAAUUCAUCCCCUACAUUUUAGCAGGCCAAGGUGGACUUCAAGAACACAAACAAUUAAAUUGGCUAAAUUUAUUCGUAUCCGCCAACUUAUUAGAAUUUUCAAAUAUAUUCAAAAAAUUAGGAGAAACAUUGGAUGAAACCACGACGGAAAUCACAAACAGGAUCAAAUUGAAAGAGAAGGAAAAUGACAUGGAAGGGAUAAAUGAAGAGAUGGCUAAAUUGCCUAAAAAUUUAGCACGUGUGUUAAGCAACAUUGAUGAUAAACCAUAUAGGAUACAACAUAUGGAGUGUAGCUUGGAAAAGAACAUGUAUAAGAUCAAUAAGGAUCAAAUUAAAAUUAUGAAAGAAUUGAGGGACUUGAAAAGGGAAAUAAAAGAGUUAAAGGAGGAUGUGAAAGAAGUUAAAAUAAAAAUUGAAAUUUUUAAAAAUUUCAAAAGUUUUCUUUGAUUUCUUAAAAUUUUUUAUUAAAUCUCUUAAAUUUUAUUUUCAAAAAAAAGAAUUUCAUUAAACACCAAAAAUGAAAUAGAUUGAAUCCAACAUCCAUGAGUUACAAAAUUAUCAUAUAUAACAAGAGCUUACAAAAAGACUAGUGUUACGGAAAAUGGCUUACGGAAAAUGACUUACUUUUCUGAAAAAGCUAAUAUUUUCUAGUGUUUGGAUAAAUCUGUGUAAAAUAUUUUCUUUUGUUUGGAGGUUCUUUAAAAAUAUUUUAUAAAAGUCAUUUUCAAUUAAACAAACAUACAUUUGAGAUUUUUUUUAUUUUUUUAUUUUUUCAUUGUUUAAUUGAGUUUAUUUUAUACCUAUAAUUUUAUAUUGUACAUUGUUUUUACAUAUAUUAAAAAUAUUUUGUUAAAUUUAGGUUCAUUGCAACAAUCAUUUUUUAGUUACAUGACUACCAAUUGAGUUUUUUUGUUUAAAAAUGUUACAUUAACAAAAUUGAUAAAAAAAUUAACAAUGUCAGCAGUUGGACUUGAUUUUCAAAUCUAGAAAGGAGAGGGACUAAAUUCUUGAAAAUAAAAGUACAGAAACUAAAUUGCAAAUUUGUGAAGAGUAUAUAAACUUAUGAUAUAUCUUAACAUUUAUACUACAAAACAAUUAUUAUUAAUAUAUUUAUAAUUGUAAUAAAUAUUUAGUAUUAAAGUAUUAAUAUUGAUAUUUUCAAUAAUAUGUGAAUAAUAUUAUUUAAAAUUACUAUUAAAAUAAAAUUUAAAUAUUAAAUAAUUUAUUAAAAAUAAUAAAUUAUAUUAAUAAUUUAUUAUAUGACUAAAUAUAAAUAAUUAAAUACGUAUUUUAAUAAUAUUAAAAAAUAUAAUAUUUUAUAUUAAUAUUUUAAAUAUUUUAAAAAUAAAAAUAAAAUUUAUUAUCAAUAUAAUAAUAUUAAACUUGAUUUAAGUUAAUUUUUAUAUAAAAGUAAAAUUAUCUAUUGAGGAGCUCUUUUCCGGAAAAUGACUUACGCUUUUCAAGAGGAUAAGUAAUUUUACAAGGAAAAAGGCUUAUUUCCAUUGACCUGUAAGUUAUUUUCCGUUGACCAAGCUGUUUUCUGUGAAACAAACACAGGAAAAUGCAGAAAAUAUUUUCCGUAAAACCUUUUACAUGUAAACAAAUGGACCCUUACUUUGGUUGAUGUAUGGUAUAAUAAGUCUGCAAAGCACCAAGCAAAAGUGCAGUAAUGGCACCCACAAAUGCCAAAAACGUCCGAGGACUCCUAAAUUAAGUAUGAUAACCUUGAGCUGCAUGAUUAAUCCACGUAGUCUUACAAUGAUUAUGUAUUUGCCCUUUAACCCUACUGUAAAUCAUCGGACCAGGAACCAAAUCAGUGUUCAUCAUGUAAAUGAUAUAAUGUCCAAAUUGUCUAGUGUUACUUCACAUGGUUGAUUUCAUUUGUGAAUUAAUGAUUGUGGAUUGACAACAUUGACUAUUCUAUGCACGGGGAGUGUAACACCUCAAACCCGGCCUAGACGUUAUGGUCGAAUCCUGGAGUGUUACAAAGAAGGGUUUUGAAAUCAGUGUUACUUCGAUAAAACUUUGUAUAGUCGUUCGAUAAAUCAUCCAAGUUUUAUAAUCCAUAUUCGUUUAUAUAACUAUUACUGAAAGCGUUAUACAAUUAAUUCAUUUGCCAAAACAUAAUUUACAGCGGAAGUCAUUUUCAUAAAUCGUUUUGACAAACCAAACAGGAUAGAAAACAAUCGAAACCAAAACCAACAGUUAAAAUCAUACAGUCCAGAGAGUCCCAAAAAUGACAAACUCUCAAAUAAAUUCAUAAUUUUAAUUAAAACCGUUAGUUAUUAAGUAAAAAUAGUUCUCAAUCGAGUGGUCAUCGCUGAGCCUCUGUCGUACUGACCUGCCGAAGUUUGUGGAUUACCUGAACAGAAUAGACAAAAAGAUGUGAGUUUUCAUAAACUUGGUGUGUAACCCAACAAAAAUAGUCAUGCAGCAUACACAGAAUCUCAUAUACAGUCAGAUACAGAUUCGGACCUAUGUCCAUGACAGAUACAGAUAGCAGAAUCAGAUAAGAAGAAUCAUACCCCCAUCCUCUACACACCAUCUCCGACUAUCCCAUCACACCAUGUGGGGUUAAAAACACCCACCCAACCCUACACACCAUAUAGAGUCAAUGCGACGCAUAACAGAUAAUAUGCAAUCAAUCUGCUAGAAUAAAGGCAAAGAAUCGCCAUACAAAUCACUUCCUCCACAUAUACAAUUCCCACCCCAAACACAGAUACAGAAUACAGAUGCAAAAAUAUCAGAGUAAACAUGCUUAACAUGCUCGUAUACAAAUGGAUACAUACUUAAACAGUACAGUCCGACAUACAUAUAGUAUCCUAAUCAAAUUAGUCUAUCAGAAUAUCAUAGCACAUAAAUUAGGGUUUUGGUUAGCCCUUACUGACCCUACGGCAGGUCCACAGUCGAUCGGAAUGACACCUGUGACCCUAGGGAAUAUUUCAGAAUUAUGGGCCCACAUGCCUAUAUGGGCCCACACGUCCAGAUUGGCCUUACCUGCAUGGGAACAUUAGAAGGUUCAAAAUACAAUUUUAUUAUUAUAUUAAUUUAUAAUUUCAUAAAUUUUAAAAGGAUUAAAUGAUAAAUUUACUAAUUUAAAAAGACAAUAGGGAUGGUAAAAUCUAAUUGAACCUAUCUGCGUUCGGAUCGGGAUGGAUUUUUUUUAAUUUAAAAAAUUAAAUAGAUUGAAUCGAAAAUCUAGGAGUUACAAAAUUCUCAUAAAUAACAAGAGUUUACAAAAAGAACACUUACUUGGUUGAUGUAUGGUAUAAUAAGCUUGCAAUCCACAUAUACAAUUCCCACCCCAAACAUGAAUAUAGAAUACAGAUGCGGGAAUAUCAGAGUAAACAUGCUUAAAAUGCUCGUAUACAGAUGGAUACAUACUUAAAUAGUGCAAUCAAACAUACAUAGGUCCACAAUCUAUUAGAAUAUCAUAGCACAUGGGUCCACAUGCCCGUGUGGGCCCACACGCCCAGAUUGGCGUUGCCCAUGUGGCCCACAUGGCCUGGCCCAAAACCCACACGGCCGUGUGGGCCUACAUGCCCAACUUGGCCUAGCCCGUGCGACCCACAAGGUCACACUCACACAAUCACACGACCAUGUCUUGUGCGCGGCCAUACCUUCGUCAGUCACAUGGCCGUGUCUCGCACAUGGCCAACCACAUGGCUUGGCUCACGCCCUUGUGGCAUUGACAGUGCCCUUUUUUAGCUUUUGUCGAACCUCAAUUUUUCAUGUUUAAGGUACACACAUGGUUCAUUUUAGAUGCCUAGCAAUCCUGAGCCCUCUGAAACCUAAGAAAUAGCAUCCCAUUGACCAAUUAGCAAUCAAUUUACGAAUCGACACUUAACCCGAAAUAACGCACAUAACUUACCGAAGACACGAAUUGGCACGAGCGCGAUCUAGGCUGUCGAAGUAAAAAUUCAUUGCUCACAACCUUCUCCUACACCACAAAUUUGCAGAAAUCAAACCCCCUAUCUAUGCUACUACGCUACCACGAAAAGAAAAUAAACUGAUAGCUUACCCAAAUCACAUAAAAAUGUCAAGUCCAGAGUGCAACGUGAAGAACAAAAGAUGAAAAAACAAGUUUGAAGGAAAAGAAAACGAACGAAAAAAUCAGAGAUUGAAGAGGAGAAAAAGGAAGAAAUGUAAAAGAAUAAAUAAAUAAAUAAAAAGAGUAGAAACUGACGUCAGAAUUUUUAGAGAGAGAGAACCUAAAUUUUGAAAAAUAAAAAUAAAAUAAGAUAAAAACAAUAUCACAACUCCCCCCACUCAAACCAGCAAAUUCAUUCUGAUAUAAUUAAAUUUACAAACAAUAUUCCAUAAACUUGCCUAAUAGGGAUAAGGCUAAGACCAAAAAAAUAACAGAAUUUUCAAAUGUGAGACUUGAAUACUAGACCUCAAACACAUACCGAAAACACUUAGCCACUAAAGUAAAAACAUAUUUAUAUUAGGAUUUACAGAAACAUAUUUAUAUCAAGAUUUACAGAAAUAGAAAUAAAUUAUUCAUGGCGUUACAGAUGGGUAGUACUCCUUUUUCUACCAUUUCACUACCCAUUGCAUUCAAUUUCUCUGCCCUACUACUCCUCUGCACUGCACUGUCCAAUUGCAUUUAAAGAUAAUGUAUACAUAUAGAUUGUAAAUUUUCUUGGCUGGAAGCUCACUGGAAGCCAAAAUCAAAACAAACUUUUGAUGGUUUAAUUGUUUUUUAGCCCUUGAAUUUCAGGUGCUAUGAGAAAUGAAUUACAACCUCAUCUUGUCAUUAUCCCAAAAUCAAAACAAGCAACUCUUGGUUGAAAGUUGAAACCAAGGGCCAAGUCAAAAUUGUUUUAGGACGAGUCCAAAAUGAACAAUGAUUUUGAAGGUUCAAAAUACAAUUUUAUUAUUAUAUUAAUUUAUAAUUUCAUAAAUUUUAAAAGAUUAAAUGAUAAAUUUACUAAUUUAAGAAGACAAUAGGGAUGGUAAAAUCUAAUUGAACCUAUCUGCGUUCGGAUCGGCAUGGAUUUUUUUAAUUUAAAAAAUUAAAUAGAUUGAAUCGAAAAUCUAGGAGUUACCAAAUUCUCAUAAAUAACAAGAGUUUACAAAAAGAACACUUACUUGGUUGAUGUAUGGUAUAAUAAGCCUGCAAAGCACCGAUAGAAAGUGCAGCAAUGGCACCCACAAAUGCGAAAAACGUCCAACGAGUCCUAAAACAAGUAUGAUAAACUUUAGCUGGAUAUUUACUCCACAUAUUCUCACGAUGAUUAUGUAUUUGCAGUUUAACAUGUCAUGUAAAUCAUCGGACUAGGAACCAAAUCAAUGUUCAUCUUCUUGAUAAGCUUAGCCACUUCUUUAUCACUCCCAAAUCUAUGGUAUAGUAUGCCGGCGCCUCUCAGUUCCUUAACAUCUUCGGCUUCAUCGAUCAAUGAAUCAAGGAAACCCAUAUAUGAAGUGACGGUGAAACUGUUGAAGAAAUCCGGACACAUUUCGUAAGCUAUUAAGUUCACUGUUAAAUCAUCGACGGUGAUCGGCGGUAACCAUAAAUUUCCGAGGAAGAAGAAAGGGCUGAAACUGAUGUCUGUUAAACAACUUGUUUCGCUUGCUUUUAACCUUAUCCCGGCUUUUUUAAGCUCUUUUACGUUCCUUAAGGUGUGUGAAUGGUGCCCUUCUAUUCUUGUUUGGUUGCUGCGAUUUUUCAAGUUCAUGAAAAAUCGAGUGCAAAACCUACAAUGCCGCCUUGGUUUUUCUUUUUCUUUUUUCUUUAUUGAAAGGAGUCUUACUCGUAGUAGAUGCAAUAAGUGAAUUCGCUCUCCUUGCUGCGGCCACCAUUCACUACAGCAAAAUCUGUGUUAGUCGGAAGCCAGCUAAAAUUAAGGUUUUCAACAGUUGAAUCUAUAAGAUCAUUGAUUUAUAAGUUCAAUUUAUCCGAUUUGAAUAAAAAAUUUAAUCCUUUUAAAAAUUAUUAAAUUAUAAUUUUUUAUAUAUAAUAAAAUUAUACUUUGACUCCUUAAAAAAUGAAGAAAAAAAUUGUUUAACUCUUUCGGAAAAUGAUAAAAUCAUAAAUUAAUGUAUAAAGAAAAUUUAAGAAUCAAACUAAAUUUAUCGGUGGGCCUGGUUAAACAGAGAAUCGUGCAAGGUAUUAAUCUAGAAUAAUGAGUUAGACUCAUUGAAUCGAGUGGUCGAAUAGAUUUUUUUAUAUUUUUAAUAUAUCUUUAAUAUUUUUAAAAUUUUAUAUAAUUGAAUCCAAUUAACUAAUCAACCAAAAAUAGACUCUAAUCGAUUCUAUCACCUAUUUUACAUUUAUACACUCCACAAAAUGAUUCUUUUGUACAUUCCUUAAAUUACCUGUCCUGCUGAUGUGAUUGUGGCCCUUUAACAGUGACGUCGAUGAACCUUAUGAUUGCCUUCAUGAACUUUUUGCCAUUAUUGCUCAAGCUUGUAAGCAAUUCAAGAACACGAAAAGGUAUUUGGUUCUCCAACAAUAACAGAUCCGAGUACACCAAUGUCAGCAAAUCGUUUUUAAUAACCAAUUGGCCAUAAACAGCAUAAAAAUCAUCAUUAGUACCGUAAUGCAUAUAAAUUAAUUGUAAAAUUGCGCAGCCGUCAACGAAGAACAUCCAAGCCAGUUUCUCGUUAUCGUUGCCAUACUCCUCUAAUUCCGUUGGAUCAUAGCAUUUCCUCAAGCCAUCGAUCUCUUUCUUCAUGUUUCUGUACAAGGAAUCCUUAUCGACGCCAAUGUUUUUGACGAAAUGUGCUGCUAAUUUGAGCUUGAGCUCCUUGGAUUCAUGGAGGGUGGGAUCAUCGUGGUGGAGUGGGCCGAUUGAGAUCACUUUCGGCUUGAAAUACUUCAUGAAAUCUUCGGUACGGCAAAGGGUUGAUGGUACUUUUCGUAUCAAUGGAUUGGCUGUGAAGUUGGGUUGGCCGCCGUCCAAAGCUUUGUCUAAUGACUGGAGAUUCGCUAAUUCGUCAUUGCUGAGAGGGACGUCCGUGCACCGCAUAUCAAUGCUCACGGAAUCGUUGUUGGUGUUGUUGUUGAUGGUUGUUUGAUCAGUGGAAACUGCUCCGACGGCGCCGCCUCCUUCCUCCGUGGACGACAUUUUCAGGGUGAGCGGUUGGAAGUAAUAAACAAGGUGAUUUUGUAAACUGUGCUUGGCUGAGUGAGUGAUGUUGGAGAAAAGGUGGCAAAAUGGCUACGAUGAUGGCAAAUAUUUUAUAGCUUACAUAAUAAACAUAUAUGGGAAAUACUUGAGGUGUAAUUUAAAUUUACCCCUUAGUGUUUAUAUUUUUACUAAUAUAAUUUUUAACUUUUAAUUUUUUAAUUAAAUUUAAUUUUCUUUUGAAAGAGUCAAUCUUAAAAAAGAAAAGUUAAAUUAAUGUUUUUUUAACAAAAAUAGUGACAAAUAUAAUAAUUGUCCUUAAGAAGUAAGACCCUAUGAUUGGGAGAAUUUUACAUUUUCAACACUUCUUAAAUUUCAUACACUUAAAAAUACCUCCAUGCUUCUUUACGUAUAAUAAUUGCAUUUGUUAUUCUACCUAACUCAUGAAAAAUCUCAAAUUUGCAACAAAAUAUUAUUCACAUGCCAACCAACCACUUUUUUUUUAUUGAAGUUAUUAUACUUAUAAGCUUUAUGCUUCUUGUAACAGAUUCGAUCUACAGGGCACUAUAGUUAUUGUCGGAGCAACUACAGUCAGAAUUACAAUAAGAUAAUUUUUAUUUAAACAUCAAUCAUGAUGCAAUUAAAGUAAUACAUCAAUUAUGAGCUUUAAUCGAGCUUACGAAAACUUUUUUGGCUGUCCGAGCAAGAAUUAGGACCAAACUGCAAAGUAAUUGCAUUUGUUAUUCUACCUAACUCAUGAAAUAUCUCAAAUUUGCCAACCAACCAAUAUAUCAUUCCAACCAACCAAUUUAUUAUUCACAUUCCAACUUUCUAAAUGCAUCAAAUAUUUCAUAUUCAUGUACUAACAAAGAUCAUGCCAAGAACCCACAUGCAGAGUCAUUAUAUACCACAUUUAACUCAACAAGACUUUUACACAACCAAAGAUUACUCCAAACGUUUAUAUGCAUGUCGCAAUCCUUGACUCAAAUGAUAAAAAAAAACACCAAAUUGACAAUAAAAUAGUGUAAGCUUCGAACGAUCCAAUCGACAUGUUCCACAAUGUAACACCUAAAAGGAAAAAGAAAACAAUGGGGUAAGCAUAUAAGAUGCUUAGGAAACUCAUAUGUAAUCUAAAACUUACCUAGAUUAAUUGAACAUAAACAAUUACUCAAUAAGCUAUCAAAUUUAUUUUUCCAUGGCACGUAGAUAUCGUAUAUGUAACAACAUUUCAAGUCAAAAAUGUUAAAUACAAUGUUGAAUCAUUAUGUCUUCUUUUCUUAAGUUUCACUUAUAGAAAUACAAUAUAGGUUCAAGUACAAAUAUAUGUCUCGAUUAAUCUAGAAAGAACUAGACAAAAUUCACAUAUGAUAUAGGCAUAUAAUGAGUGUGAGACUCACACAUCACAAUUGAGAAUAAUGUUAUAGAAAACCUUUGCGUUAAGCAAGAAGCUAAGACCCUAUCGGAGGGAGAAUUUUAUAUCUACAACACUUAUUAAAUUUCAUUAGCUUAAUAAUAGCUAUUCAAAUAUUUAACAUUGUAACCAUGCUUGUUUACAUAUCGUAAGCGCAUUUGUUAUUCUACCCAACUUAUGAAAAAUCUCAAAUUUGCAAUUUAUUAUUCACAUGCCAAACAACCAAUUUAUUAUUCACGUGCCAACCAAUUUGUUUUAUCGAAGUUAUUAUACUUAUAAGCUUUCACAUAUAACCAUGCUUCUUUACAUAUAUUAAUUGCAUUUAUUGUUGUACCUCAUGAAAAUUUUCAAAUUUGCAACAACAUAUUAUUCGCAUGCCAACCAACCACUUUUUUUUUAUUGAAGUUAUUAUACUUAUAAGCAUUCACAUUUAACCAUGCUUCUUGUAACACUUUUCAUUGGAUCCAAUCGUUGGGUCCGAUCUACAAGACGCUAUAGUCAUUGUCAAAGCAACUACAGUCGAAAUUACGAUAAGAUAAUUUUCAUUUAAACAUUAAGCAAGAUUCAACUACAGUAAUACAUUAAUUAUGAGUUUUAAUCGAGCUUACAAAAGCUUUUUUGGUAGUUCGAACAAGAAUUAGGACCAAACUAUAAAGAUUUGAAAAGUUUGGAGCGACGUCACAACUUCAGCUUUUCCUCAUCGCAACAUGACCAUCUCAGUAUGUCACAUCAUAUCGAAAAGCCUAUGCUCGUCGCGGCGAGACUCUUUGACUUGGCAAUGUCGCAAUGUCAAAAUUUGUAGCCGUUAUGUAAACCCUAUAUUUGACAAAAAUAUACAAUUUGGUACCUAAAUCAAAGCUCCAACUAAAAUCAUGCAAGAAAAAUACAUUACAUGCCAUUUCUAAAUGACUUAAAACUUACCUAAAACAUGCUAAGUAAGUUCAAACGUAUCAUUUCAAUUCCAUAGAAAUUCAUAAAACUUACCUAAAACAUGCUAAGUAAGUUCAAACAUAUCAUUUCAAUUCCAUAGCAAUUCAUAUUACCAUUUCAUCCAUUGUAUUCAACUUUUCAAUAACUUUAACUAAAUAUCAACAAGUUAUACAAACAUCUACCAUUACCUUUAUCAUGCCAUAAUGAAUCAUUUCAUUUCAAACAAUCAUCACAUUAGUUCUUUAAUUUUUCUUUUUUAGUCAACAUAUGCAAACCAACUUAAAUAGAUCACAUUCCAGCAUAGUCAACAAGACUUUUACACAACCAAAGAUUACUCCAAAAAUGUUUAUAUGCAUGUCACAAUCCUUCACUGAAAAUGAUAAAAAAAUCUACUAAAUUGACAAUAAAAUAGUUUAAGCUUUGAACGAUCCAACCGACGUGUUCUACAAGGUAACAACCUAAAAGAAACAAAAGAAACAACAGGAUAUACAUAUAAUAUGUUUAGUAAACUCAUAUGGAAACUAAAACUUACCUAGAUCAAUUGAACAUAAAAAAAUUACUCAAUAAGCUAUCGAAUUAAUUUUUCCUUGGCACUUAUAUACAUAUAGUACAUGUAACAACAUUUCAAGUCAAAAGUGUUAGAUACAAUGUUGAAUCAUAAUCCCGUCAACAUUUAAAACAUAAUCACAUAGCAAUCUAUAUAUCAAAUUUCAUCAAUACCAAUUCAUUUUCAAUUCAAGAUUUAAUUCCAUUUUCAACCAUUUAAUCAUCCUCUGAUGGAACUAUAGUAAAAAAGGUGCAUGGGAAUAUUUUGCUGAACUGACUCACACAAGUUGACUUUAUAUUAGAAUUGUUCACACACGUUAACUUUGUAAUUUAUAUUAUGUAAAAUUUAAGAUUUUUAUAUUAUGUAAAUCAAAGCUUAAUUAGUAUAGAAUUUUCAAAAUAAUAUGGCUGUAUAAAGAUAAAAUUCUUGAUAUAAGUCUCAACAAGGGAAAAAUUAAGGAUAGAAAAAUUGUGGUGGAAAGGGGAUCAAUUUCUCCUAAACAGGUGGAGAGCCGGAGAAUGAUAAGUGAAGGAAGAUGGUUGAUGUGAAGGCUAAGAGUAAUUGUUAAAGGUUACUAACAGGGGAAGAUCCCUUUCUCAUGAAGAUGAUUUUUAAACACCAUGUUAAUUGUUUAUGGGCCAUCAUGUUUGACGAUAAUUUUUAAAUACCUUGUUAAUUGUAUAUAGUACAUCAUGUUUGGCAAUGAUUUUUAAAGACUUUUAAACGUCACAUUAAUUGUUUAAUUGUUUAUGGCCCAUUGCCCAUGUUACUUUUAUUAAAUUUUGGGUAAACUACAAUUUAAUCACUUAAUUUUUAUAAAAUUUCAUUUUGGUCAUAAAAAAAUUGUAUGGAAUGAGAGUCUCAGGAUAAAACAAAAAUUAGGAUAAAUGUAAUGCUGAAAUGAAUAUAGUGGGAAUCUUUAAUGUUUAUGGCCAAACCCCACCUCUCCUAUCCUAUACUUCAUCUAUAAUAAUGGUUCUUGGCUUCUUCUAUCCUAUACCUCAAUUAUUUGGAUUAGAUUGAAAAACAAUUGACACUUGAUUUGAUUGUGAAAGAAGUUUUAGUUUAAUGAUAUGAAUGAGUUAAAUUUUAAAUUUAUAAUAUUUAACUUGAGUGUGAAUGAAUUUUUGACUUAAUUGAAAAUUUAAAAUUUUAGCUUCGAGUCUUAUUUAAUUAUGUGAGUAUAUCAUAUAUAAAUUUUGUUUAAAUUUAUUUUGAUUUAAUUCUCAUACUAUAUAAACUUUAUUCUUAAUUAAAUUUAGAUAUAUUCUAAUUAUCAAUUUAAUCAUAUAUUGUAACGAUGAAUUAGGAUUAUAGUUAAUUAUAUAUUGAAACAAAAUAAUGAGUUUAAGGAAUUAAAAGAUAUUAUUAUAUUUUAUAAAAAUUGAAUAGAUUAAUAAUUAAUUCGAGAUUAAAAAAUUGUCUAUCUUUAUUUCGCCCCUCAGUUUAAUUUAUUAUUUUCCCUAAUUUUAAAUCCAAAUAAUAAGGAGAAGAAAAAGAUAAAAGCAAACCUUUUUUACGGUCUGAACUAAACCCCAUGGGGUGUGGAAAAUUGCAAGUUUCCAGAAUAACGAAGUUCAGUUUUCGUCGGUGUUUCUAUGUGACUGUGUUUCUAUGGUAAGGAAUGGUGUAAAAAAGUUUACGGUUUAAGGUUUUGUUAUAUACGGAAGGAAAGCGCCUUUCAAGAUUAUUAGUAGCACUUAUUCUCGUGUUGUGUUUUGUAUUGAGUUGUACCUUUUUUUAGUGUAUGUAUUGUGGACCUGUGGUACAAGUUUAGUUCUUUUGAGUGUCUUGUGAUGUUAAGUAUGUUUUGUUGGGGCUCUUGGCUCCUAUGAUAAUAAAAUAUAUUUCAAGCAUAGUACUUUUUUUAUAUUUAAAAUUUAAUAUUAUACUUUUAUUUUAAGGUAAUCUCUCUACUACAACAAUGUUUAAUAUUAAUAUGAACUCAUGUUGCGAUUUACUAUUACCAACUAAUUGGAAUGCAACAUCUAUUUAAACUUCAACAUGAAACUAAAUUCUUCUAUAUAAACUAGAAAAAUAUCAUUAGUUCUUAAGUAAUUUCACCUCAAUCCAAUGACCAUUGUAUAGUCUCAAUUUUAUUCGGCCCAAACAAAUAAAAAGUCCAUUAACAGUCGCGGCAAGACUCUCUGACUUGGCAAUGUCGCAAUGUCAAGAUUCGUAGCCGUGAUGUGAACCCUAUAUUUGACAAAAAUAUACAAUUUGGUACCUAAUUCAAAGCUCCAACUAAAAUCAUGUAAAUGACUUAAACUUACCUAAAACAUGCAAAGUAAGUUCAAACAUAUCAUUUCAAUUCCAAAGCAAUUCAUAUUACCAUUUCAUCAAUGAAUCAUUCCAUUUCAAACAAUCAUCACAUUAGUUCUUUCAUUUUUUCCAUUUUAGUCAACAUAUGCAAACCAACUUAAAUAGAUCACAUUCCAACUUUCCAAAUACCAAGCUAAGACCCUAUCAGAGGGAGAAUGUUACAGCUACAACACUUCUUAAAUUUCAUUAGCUUAAUAAUAGCUAUUCAAAUAGUUAACAUUGUAACCAUGCUUCUUUACAUGUAGUAAUUGCAUUUGUUAUUCUACCUAGCUUAUGAAAAAUCUCAAAUUUGCAAUUUAUUAUUCACAAGCCAAACAACCAAUUUAUUAUUCCAACCAACCAAUUUAUUAUUCACAUGCCAACCAAUUUGUUUUAUUGAAGUUAUUAUACUUAUAAGCUUUCACAUAUAACCAUGCUUCUUUACAUAUAUUAAUUGCAUUUAUUGUUGUACCUCAUGAAAGAUUUUCAAAUUUGCAACAUAUUAUUUGCAUACCAACCAACCACUUUUUUUUUAUUGAAGUUAUUAUACUUAUAAGCUUUCACAUGUAACCAUGCUUCUUGUAACACAUUUCAUUGGAUCCGAUUGUUGGGUCCGAACUAUAGGAUGCUACAGUCAUUGUCAAAGCAACUACAGUCAGAAUUAUGAUAAGAUAAUUUUCAUUUAAACAUCAAUCACGAUUCAAUUACAGCAAUACAUUAAUUAUGAGCUUUAAUCGAGCUUACGAAAGCUUUUUUGGCAGUCUGAACAAGAAUUAGGACCAAACUGUAAAUUGGCUAAAUUUACUUAUAUCCACCAAAUUAUUAAAAUUUUAAAAUAUAUUCAAAAAAUUAGGACAAACAUUGGAUGAAACCACAAGGGAAAUUACAAACAGGAUCAAAUUGAAAGAAAAGCAAAAUGACAUGGAAGGAGUAAAAGAAGAGAUGGCUAAAUUGCCUGAAAAUUUAGCACCUAUAUUAAGCAACAUUGAUGAUAAAACACAUAGGAUGGAACCUAACUCAUGAAAAAUCUCAAAUUUGCAACCCCAUAUUAUUCACAUGCCAACCAACCAAAUUUUUUUGUCCUUUUUAGGGUCUACAAGACAGGUAGCAACCAUUAUUGAAGAAUUAGUCACGUUUUAAAUAUUUUCUUCUAAGUAAGCACAACGACAUUAAGAAAUUUACUUUUUAGAGUCUGUAUAAGGAAAGGGCCUUAGGAUUUGCUACUGCCACACUCGCUUCAGCAACAAUCGCUUCUAAUUUUCAGUCUGAGCGGUUCGAAGUAAUUAACUAGGUGAUUUUGUAGACUGUUUUUGGCUGAGUGAGUGAUGUUGGAAAAAAGGUGGCAAAAUGGCUACGAUAACGACAAAUGUUUCUAUAGCUUAUAUAAUAAACAUAAGGAAAAUAUUUUUGGUGUAAUAUCAAAUUUCGCUUCUAAUUUUUAUUAUUUUCAAUUUGAUUUUUAUUUUUUAGUAAAAUUUAGCUUUUUACUUUUGAAAGAGUUAAAUUGAUUAUCAAUCCUUAAACUGAAUUAAUAUUUUUCAAAAAUAAUGACUAAAAUAUUAAAUUUUAAACAUGAUAACUCAUAUGACAAUUCACGUGUACAUUUUUUAUUAUUAUUUUAAAAUUAUUUAUUGACAUAGCAUAUAAGAAAAUGAUUAUUAUGUUAGCAUGAAGUGCAUAUGGAUUGUCACACGAGUUGUAACACCAACAACGUAAAAAAUUAAUAUUUUAAUCAAUAUUUCUGUUAAAGAAAAGCAAUUUGACUUUUUUUUUGAAAGGUUCAUAGCUAAAUUUAGCUUAAAUAAUAAUAAUAAUGAUAAAAAAUAAAAGUCAAUUUGACAGAAAAUGUAAAUGUGGAGGACUAAAUUUAUUAUUAUGUCAUUUUUCUAAGUUUCACUUAUAAAAAUACAAUAUAGGUCCAAGUACAAAUAUGUGUCUGGAUUAAUCUAGAAAGAACUAGACAAAAUCUAUACAUGAUAUACGCAUAGAUGAGAGUGAGACCCAUUUUUAUAUCUACAACACUUCUUGAAUUUCAUACUCUUAAUACUAGCUUUUUUGUUGUUUGUUUCGCUUCAUUUGAUCUGUUUUGUUGUAAAAAAACAUAAAGAAAAACAUUCAAAAGUUUAACGUUAUAACAUUCCAAAAGAAAACACAUUCAAUAACUAACAUAUCUUGUAUUCUUGUAUUCUUUGAUCAAAUAGUGCAAGUGUAUUUAUACAGACUUUUGGAGGGUAACUACUGAACUGCUACUAACAACUUUUUAGCAGAAAGUUUAACAACUUAACCACCUAACAGAUUGCAUUUACCUAUGCUCUAAGAUUCUGUAAUGCGAAAUCAUACUUCAAAUUGUAAUUAUUACUUCAUAACAAUACAAGAUUUUCGUUACAAUGCUAGGAUUACUUAUAAACCUCAACCAUUAAAUGAGAGGAUAAAGACACUUUAAUAAGUUCGAAUCUUCGUCCUUUUGUAUUGACAAUAAUACUGAUAUCAAUCGAACUAAAACUCAGUAUAACAAUGGUUAAAUGAAUUUUAAGUACACAUAUUACUCUUACUAUGUAAGUAUUUAGGAUAAAUCACCCUCCAUGGUCAAACAAAUGGACCCAGGCUAUAAUUUGUAUAUAAAAAAAAUUAAAAAGCAUUAGUAAAACAAAUGGACCCAGGCUAUAAUCACCCUCCACUCAUUAACAAUUGUCAUCACAGGCUUAAUGUGGCAUGUUAACUAAUUGAUGUGACUAGUUAACUUGCCACGUUGGACAAGUAGUCAAAGGGUCAAAAAGAAAAAAAGAUGAUUGGUUAAGGGUAAAAAGAAAAAUAAGAGAAAUGAAGAAGAAGAAGAAGAAGAAGAAAAGAAGAACAGGGAAGGAAGAAGGGAAAAUGGAAGUAAAAGGGUCAAAAAGAAAAGAAAAGAUGAUUGGUUAAGGGUAAAAAGAAAAAUAAGAGAAAUCGAGAAGAAGAAAAAAUGAAGAACAGGGGAGGAAGAAGGGAAAAUGGAAGGAGCUUCCAAGCUUCAUACCAACGAUUCCCAAGGGUCAAAAUCUGGGAACUUGGAUUUUGAUCCUUGGGAAUCACUGUUACGAAGUCCUUCCAUUUUCUCCUUUUCUUCUUUUUCUCCAUUUAUUCUCUUAUUCUUCUUUUUUUUUUGUUCUUCUACUGCCCAAACUUCUUAAAUGGGUUUGUUUAAAUGACAGCUAGCCUACCCUUAAAUGCCAUUCACUUUUUCGUUACGUUUUGUUAAAAAGAUUGUUUAAAUGACAGAAAAUGGUUAAAAAGAUUGUUUUGUUAGCUACCCCAAAAUUGAGUGAUUGUUGCUGUAAUUUACCCCAUUUCUUAUUUGAAAUUGUAAAUUUUUAACAAGCUAAAUUUAAGGUUUUCAAAAUUCAACUCAUUAAGUUAUCGAUUUAUAAGUCUAAUUGGUUUGACGAAUUCAUCCGAUUAAUUAAAUUAAUUAUUAAAAAUUUUUGAUUUGAUUGCCCAAUUCAAUUAGUUUUUUUUUGGUUCAACCUGUUCAUAUAGAUUCCCAAGUCGAUUGGUCCAAUGAUUUCCUUCGGACUAAUACCUUAAUUAAUUUCCAAUCCAAAUCGAUUCAAAUAAUAUUAACUAAAAUACAAUUUUUAUUAUUUUAUUAAUGCAAAAAUUUUACCAUUUUAAAGAUAUUAAAAUAUAAAAUUUCUAUUUUAAAAAGUUGGAUUUGAAAUCAUAAUUUUUUUCCUAAAGAAAUGUACACUCAACAGGACCAAAGGAAUUCACAGGGAAAUUUUGUUUUAUGGACAGUCUUCAUCACAAAUGAUCCUAUCAAAUUAAAAGAGGAUAUAUCACCUUUUUUUCAUAUCAUAUAUACAUUGGGACUAAACUUCUAAAUAAAAAAUGAUGUGUCUUUUUUUAAUUGAGUGGGACCAUAGAUGAUGUGGUGAAAAUGGUCCAUUAAAUAAUUUAUCACAAGCAAGAGUAAUUCCAAAAAUAGAAAACUACAUUUUAAUUCUUUAAAAAUUAUUAAAUUAUAAAUUUAUAUAUUAUAAAAUUACACUUUGAUCCUCAAAAUGGAAAAAAUAUUUUGUUCAGUCUUUGACCACACCUAAUAAAAAGGAUUGGUGGUGACUCCAUUUUCGUUUUUUAAAUAAAAAGUCAAUUCCCAAAAAAAAGAUUUCGACAACCAUCACUUGGAUAACUUUGGUUAUCAGCUCAUGACACUUAGAGCUAUACAAUAUAUUUGGUGUUUGGCACAAUAUGGCAUACAUAGUAGUUUUCACUACUAAAAGAUAUGGUGCCUUACUCAUUCUUCUCUUAUCUUCCAAAGUUUUAGGAUUCAUAUCAUUCGAGUGAUGUACACUGUCAAUACUAUUUUUUUUGUAAAAGAGGUCGACUUUUUGUUUAAAAAUGAAAAUGGAGUCACCACCAAUCCUUUUUAUUUAGGUGUGAUAGGAUCACCUCGUAAUUUAAUCAUUUUAAUAAAAGUUUAAAUUUACUAAAAAAAUAAGUAAGUUAGUUUCUAUACAUCAGAUCAAAGAGCAAAUUGAUCAUUUUAUUACAUUUUUAAUCUUUUUCUAUCAUUAAAAAUUGAUUCAUAUACAUAAGUUUGAGGUACAGUGUCACGUCACAUGUUAUGAUUUGGUUAUUCCGUUAGUCACACCAGUUUUUAACAUUACAAAUAGAUGAAAAUUUUAACAGAAAUGACCAAGUUACUUUUUGAUCUAACAUAUAGGGACUAAUUUACUCAUUUUUCAAUAUAGAGAGCAAAAUGUAAUUCAACUCAAUGUACAAGGACUGUUAUUUUUUUUUCCAAUUUCACAUUAUUUUAUCAUAUUAUAUAUAUUGUUAGGAUCGUCCCGAUUAAGCAACGAACAAGUAAAAAUAGUAGAAGAAAUUGAGAAGAUGAACACACAAAUUUAACGUGGAAAAACCCCUCAAAAGAGGAUAAAAAACCACGGGCAAAGAUAAUUUUACUAUAAUGGCAAAAGAAUGAAGAGUACAAAAGAUGGAGAUAAAAACUAAACCCCGAAAACUCGAAAAACAAAGAACCCUCAAACGUAAACACAAAAUUCUCUGAAUGUGUUAUGAGUUCUAAUCUAAUGGGUGUCUCUUUUUAAUUCUAAGAUUGUAAAGGAGCCUAUUUAUAGGCUAAAUUAGUAAGUCAAAUAAACUAUACUAAUAAAUGCUAAAUAUAUUAUACUAAUAAAUACUAAAUCUUCUAGAAAGAAAAUAUAUUUUUGUUUAACUUGACUUGCAAGCAAUCUCUUAGAAUUUGGGUCACACAAUUCUAACAAUCUCCACCUUGACACGAAUUCUUUCAAUGCCAUCUUUGCCAAAACCCGCCACGAGCCUAUCUUGAACUAUGCAGGGAAUUAACUGAGUCGAAUCUAUGCUUAGAAGCUAGAAGACUUCUAGCCUUCGACUUGUGCACUGCCAAAUCAAAACUAACCCGGGUCUGAUUUUCACGAAUACAGUGCCCUAACUUUUCAAAACCUGCAUCCAAAAGAGAACCUCUCUUCAACGAAACGGUCAUACCUUUUUCCCUCCUAUGACCAAGUUGCCUCCGCUUCAAAUGAGUUGACUUUGACUCCGUAACGGACGAGGGACGUCCGAUUUCACCGGUCACUGUAGAACCUUCCAGAAUAUAAAGACUGCCGGUUCUUUUACCUUUUAACAAAACGAGAGCUCCACGAGAUACUUUAAUGUCGCUCGACUCGAUGUUGAUUCUGCAUCCUUUCAAGUCUAAAAUACUCAAGGAGAUGAGAUUCUUUCGUAAAUCGGGUACAUACCUGACAUCUGAGAGUGUCCUAAUCGUCCCAUCGUGUAUCCUAAUUUUAACAGUACCAAUACCGAUUAUUUUACUAGAUGAAUCGUUUCCCAUGUGCACAACUCCACCUUCAACUGAACUGUAUGUGGAGAACCAUUCUCUAUUGGGACACAUGUGGAAAGAACAUCCUGAAUCUAGGAUCCACUCAGACGUAAGCUUGGAGUUAUCGCUCGUUGACACUAACAAGAAAUCAUCACCGCCUUCAUCGACCAAAUUAGCACCAGCUACAUCUUCCUCGUUACUCUCAGCAGCUCUUUUAUUUCGCAGUUUAAAACAAUCUGCUUUGACGUGACCUAACUUUUUGCAAUAGCGACACCUUUUGUCUCGUUUCUUUGAUGCUACCAAAACGGAAGCUUGUCUAUCUGCUUUGCUAUUCAAAUCAAACUCAUUGUCGAGUUUGUCUCUACUCAACAAAUAACCUUUCACAUCUUCAAACGAGAGUUUGUCUCUGCCAUAAAUCAGGGUCUCCCUGAAAGACUUGUAUGAAGAGGGUAAAGAGCACAAUAAUAGCAUAGCUUGAUCUUCAUCGUCAAUAUGAACCUCAACGUUCUUUAAAUCAUUUAAAAGAGUAAUGAAUUGAUUGAUGUGAUCUUUAAGAAGCUCACCUUCGUUCAUGCGAAACGUAAAUAGACGUUGUUUCAACACUAAACGGUUAGCCAGAGACUUAGUCGCAUAAAGAGUUUCUAACCUUUUCCACAAGGCGAAUGAGGUCUUCUCCAUCAAUACCUCCUGCAAUACUGUAUUCGCGAGACACAACUGGAUUGCAGACAAGGCCUUUUCAUCAAGCUCUUCCCAUUUUGUUUGAUUUAGAUUCUCAGGCUUUUUCCCUGUAACAACCUUUUUCAAGCCAUUUUGAACUAGAAUUGCCAUCAUCCGAACUUGCCACAGAUUGAAAUUUGUCUCACCAUCGAACUUCUCAAUUUCAAACCUUGUUGCUGCCAUCUCUGACCGGGCUGAUCUAUGAAAGUUAAACUAUCUCUGAUACCACUUGUUAAGAUCGUCCCGAUUAAGCAACGAACAAGUAAAAAUAGUAGAAGAAAUUGAGAAGAUGAACACACAAAUUUAACGUGGAAAAACCCCUCAAAAGAGGAUAAAAAACCACGGGCAAAGAUAAUUUUACUAUAAUGGCAAAAGAAUGAAGAGUACAAAAGAUGGAGAUAAAAACUAAACCCCGAAAACCCGAAAAACAAAGAACCCUCAAACGUAAACACAAAAUUCUCUGAAUGUGUUAUGAGUUCUAAUCUAAUGGGUGUCUCUUUUUAAUUCUAAGAUUGUAAAGGAGCCUAUUUAUAGGCUAAAUUAGUAAGUCAAAUAAACUAUACUAAUAAAUGCUAAAUAUAUUAUACUAAUAAAUACUAAAUCUUCUAGAAAGAAAAUAUAUUUUUGUUUAACUUGACUUGCAAGCAAUCUCUUAGAAUUUGGGUUACACAAUUCUAACAUAUAUAUAUUAGCAUACGCCUAUCAUGCAAAUGGUAUAAUGUCCAGAUUAUCUGGUCUUUGAUUUCAUUUGUCAAUUAAUGAUUGUGGAUUGACAAUAUUGACCAUUUUAUGCACGGGGACUACUCAUCUACUCCUCUUCUGCCAUUCUCACUACCCAUUUGCAUUCAUUUUCUCUGCCCUACUGCUCCUCUGCAGUGCACUCUCCAAUUGCAUUUAAAGACAAUAUAUACGUAUAGAUUGUAAAUUUUCUUGGCUGGAAGCUCACUGUAAGCCAAAAUCAAAACAAACUUUUGAUGGUUUAAUUGUUUUUUAGCCCUUCAAUUUCAGGUGCUAUGAGAAAUGGAUUACAACCUCAUCUUGUCAUUAUCCCAAAAUCAAAACAAGCAACUCUUGGUUGAAAGUUGAAACCAAGAGCCAAGUCAAAAUUGUUUUAGGAUGAGUCCAAAAUGAAUAAUGAAUUUGAAGGUUCAAAAUAAAAUUUUAUUAUUAUAUUAAUUUAUAAUUUCAUAAAUUUUAAAAGGAUUAAAUAAUAAAUUUACUAAUUUAAGAAGACAAUAGGGAUGAUCAAAUCUAAUUGAACCUAUCAGCGAUCGGAUCGGGAUGGAUUUUUUAAAUUUAAAAAAUUAAAUAGAUUGAAUCGAAAAUCUAGGAGUUACAAAAUUCUCAUAAAUAACAAGAGUUUACAAAAAGAACACUUACUUUGGUUGAUGUAUGGUAUAAUAAGUCUGCAAAGCACCGAUAAAAAGUGCAGCAAUGGCACCCACAAAUGCGAAAAACGUCCAACGAGUCCUAAAAAAAGUACGGUAAACUUGAGCUGGAUAUCUAAUCCACAGAUUGUUUUGAUGAUCAUGUAUUUUCCGUUUAACCCCACUGUAAAUCAUCGGACUAGGAACCAAACCAGUGUUCAUCUUGUUGAAAAGCUUAGCCACUUCUUUAUCACUCCCCAAUCUAUUGUAUAAUAUGCCGACGUCUCUCAGUUCCUUAACAUCUUCGGCUUCAUCGAUCAAUGAACCAAGGAAACACAUAUAUGAAGUGACGGCGAAAUCGUUCUGGAAAUCCGGACACAUUUCGUAAGCUAUUAAGUUCAUGGUUGAAUCAUCGACGGAGAUCGGCGGUAAACAUAAUUUUCCGACGAAUAAGAUACGGUUGAAACUGAUGUCGGUUAAAUAACUUGUUUCGCUUGCUUCUAACCAUAUCCCGGUGUUUUUAAGCUCUUUUACGUUAUGAAUGGUGUGUGAAUGGCACCGUUUUGUUCUUUCUUCUUUUCUAUCUUCGUGUUCAAUGCAAAACGGAAAACACCACCGCCGUAGUUUUUCUAUUUUGAAAAGGAGUCUUUUAUGAAUUCCCCACCCCCGUGGUUUUUCUUUUUUGAAAAGGAGUCUUACUCGUAGUAGAUGCAAUAAGUGAAUUGGCGUUCCUUCUUGCUGCGGCCACCAGUCACUAGAGCCAAAUCUGUGUUAGUCAGGAGCCAGCUAAAAUCAAGGUUUUCAAUGGUUGAAUCAAAUCAUUAUUAUUUUAAUAAAAAAUUAUUUAAAUUAUUAAAUUACAUUUUAAACCUUUUAAAAAUUAUUAAAUUAUAAAUUUAUAUACAAUAAAAUUAUACUUUGACUCCUCAAAAUGAAUAAAAAAUUGUUCAAACACUUUUGAAAAAUGAUGAAAUUAUAAAUUAAUACAUAAAAAAAAUCUAAGAAUCAAACCAAACUUGUGGAUCGGCCUAAUUAGAUAGAGAAUCGAGCAAGGUACUGAUCCAGAAUAAUAAGUUAAAUCCAUUGAAUCCAAUCAUCGAAUCGAUUUUUUAUAUAUUUUUAAUAUUUUUAAAAAUUUAUAUAUAUAAUUAAACUGAAUGAACUUAUCAACUAGAAAUGAGAGUCUAAUAGAUUCCAUCACCCAUCUAGUUAUAAAAACCUUUUAACUUUUAUAAACUCCACAAAAAUGGUUAAAAAGACUGUUUUGCCAGCUACCCCAAAGUUGAGUGAUUGUUGCUGUAAUUUACCCCAUUUCUUAUUUGAAAUUGUAAAUUUUUAACAAGCUAAAUUUAAGGUUUUCAAAAUUCAACUCGUUAAGUUAUCGAUUUAUAAGUCUAAUUGGUUUGACGAAUUCAUCCGAUUAAUUAAAUCAAUUAUUAAAAAUUUUCGAUUUGAUUGCCCAAUUCAAUUAGUUUUUUUUUUGGUUCAACCUGUUCAUAUAGAUUCCCAAGUCGAUUGGUCCAAUGAUUUCCUUCGGACUAAUACCUUAAUUAAUUUCCAAUCCAAAUCGAUUCAAAUAAUAUUGGCUAAAAUACAAUUUUUAUUAUUUUAUUAAUGCAAAAAUUUUACCAUUUUAAAGAUAUUAAAAUAUAAAAUUUCUAUUUUAAAAAGUUGGAUUUGAAAUCAUAAUUUUUUUUCUAAAGAAAUGUACACUCAACAGGACCAAAGGAAUUGGCAGGGAAAUUUUGUUUUAUGGACCGUUUUCAUCACAAAUGAUCUUAUCAAAUUAAAAGAGGAUAGAUCAUCUUUUUUUUCAUAUCAUAUAUACAUUGGGACUAAACUUCCAAAUAAAAAAUAAUGUGUCUUUUUUUAAUUGAGUGGGACCAUAGAUGAUGUGGUGAAAAUGGUCCAUUAAAUAAUUUAUCACAAGCAAGAGUAAUUCCAAAAAUAGAAAAUUACAUUUUAAUUCUUUAAAAAUUAUUAAAUUAUAAAUUUAUAUAUUAUAAAAUUACACUUUGAUCCUCAAAAUGGAAAAAAUAUUUUGUUCAGUCUUUUUUUUUUAAAAAAAUAUGAACUUAUAAAUCAAUACAUGAAAAAAUUUAAGCGUCAGGCUAGUUGGAAAGAAAAGAUGAUUGGUUAAGGGUAAAAAGGAAAAUAAGAGAAAUGGAAAAGAAGAAGAAAAGAAGAACAGGGGAGGAAGAAGGGAAAAUGGAAGGAGCUUCCAAGCUUCAUACCAACGAUUCCCAAGGGUCAAAAUCUGGGAAUUUGGAUUUUGAUCCUUGGGAAUUACUGUUACGAAGUCCUUCCAUUUUCUCCUCUUCUUCUUUUCUUCUUUUUCUCCAUUUCUUCUCUUAUUCUUCUUCUUUUUUUUUGUUCUUCUACUGCCCAAACUUCUUAAAUGGGUUUGUUUAAAUGACAGCUAGCCUACCCUUAAAUGUCAUGUCACUUUUUCGUUACGUCUGUAACGAAAAAUGGUUAAAAAGACUGUUUUGUCAGCUACCCCAAAGUUGAGUGAUUAUUGCUAUAAUUUACCCUAUUUCUUAUUUGAAAUUGUAAAUUUUUAACCAGCUAAAUUUAAGGUUUUCAAAACCCAACUCGUUAAGUUAUCGAUUUAUAAUUCUAAUUGGUCUAAUGAAUUCAUCCGAUUAAUUAAAUUAAUUAUUAAAAAUUUUCCAUUUGAUUGCCCAAUUCAAUUAAUUUUUUUUGGUUCAACCUGUUCAUAUAGAUUCCCAAAUCAAUUGGUCCAAUGACUUCCUUCAGACUAAUACCUUAAUUAAUUUCCAAUCCAAAUCGAUUCAAAUAAUAUUGGCUAAAAUACAAUUUUUAUUAUUUUAUUAAUGCAAAAAUUUUACCAUUUUAAAGAUAUUAAAAUAUAAAAUUUCUAUUUUAAAAAGUUGGAUUUGAAAUCAUAAUUUUUUUUCUAAAGAAAUGUACACUCAACAGGACCAAAGGAAUUGGCAGGGAAAUUUUGUUUUAUGGACCGUUUUCAUCACAAAUGAUCUUAUCAAAUUAAAAGAGGAUAGAUCAUCUUUUUUUUCAUAUCAUAUAUACAUUGGGACUAAACUUCCAAAUAAAAAAUAAUGUGUCUUUUUUUAAUUGAGUGGGACCAUAGAUGAUGUGGUGAAAAUGGUCCAUUAAAUAAUUUAUCACAAGCAAGAGUAAUUCCAAAAAUAGAAAAUUACAUUUUAAUUCUUUAAAAAUUAUUAAAUUAUAAAUUUAUAUAUAAUAAAAUUACACUUUGACCCUCAAAAUGGAAAAAAUAUUUUGUUCAAUCUUUUUAAAAAAAUAUGAACUUAUAAAUCAAUACAUGAAAAAAUUUAAGGAUUCGACAAAACUUAUCGGUCAGGCUAGUUGUUGAGAAAAUUGAACAAGAUAUUGAUCCAGAAUAAGAGAUUAGAUUAGAUGAAUUGAGUCAUCGAAUGGAUUUUCUUUAUAUGUUUAAUAUAUCUUUAAUAUUUUCAAAAACUUAUAUAACUGAAUCGAAUAAACUAAUCAAUCAAAAUUAAGAGUAAUCAAUGUAAAAACCUUUUAACAUUUAUAACCUCGACAAAAUGAUUUUUUUAUUUAUUUUUAAAUUCCUUAAAUUACCUGUCCUCGGCUGGGGUGAUAACAGUGUCGUCGAUGAACCUUUUGACUGCAUUCAUGAACUUUUCGCCAUCACUCGAGCUUGUAAGCAAUUCAAGAACACGAAAAGGUAUUUGGUUCUCCAACAAUAACAGAUCCGAGUACACAAAUGUCAGCAAAUCGUUUUUAAUAAACAACCGGUCAUAUUCAGAAGAAAUAUCAUCACCGUAACGCAUAUAAACUGCUUGUAAAAUUGCGCAGCCGUCAACGAAGAACAUCCAAGCCAGUUCCUCGUCAUCGUCGCUAUAGUUCGCUAAUUCCUGUGGAUCAUAGCAUUUCUUUAAGUCAUCGAUCUCUGCCUUCAUGUUGCUGUACUCCUCAUUGUCGUCAAUGUUUCUGACGAAAUGUGCUGCUAAUUUGAGCUUGAGAUCAUUGGAUUCUUGGAGGGUGCCAUCAUCGUGGUGGAGUGGGCCGAUUGAGAUCACUUUCGGCUUGAAAUACUUCUUGAAAUCUUCGUUACGGCUAAGGGUUGAUGGGACUUUUCGGAUCAAUGGAUUGCAUGUGCCGUUGGAAGCUUUGACUAAUGACGCGAGAUUCGCUAAUUCGCCCUUCCAGCGUAGCAAGUCAAUACGAAUGCUCACGAAAUCGUUGUUGUUGGUGAUUGUUUGAUCAGUGGAAACUGCUCCGACGGCGCCGCCUCCUUCCUCCGUGGACGGCAUUUUCAGGCUGAGCGGUUGGAAGUAAUAAAGAAGGUGAUUUUGUAAACUGUUUUUGGCUGAGUGAGUGAUGUUGGAGAAAAGGUGGCAAAAUGGCUACGAUGAUGACAAAUAUUUUAUAGCCUACAUGAUAAACAUAUAUGGGAAAUACUUAAGGUGUAAUUCAAAUUUACCCCUUAGUGUUUAUAUUUUUAUUAAUAUAAUUUUAAUUUUUUAAUUAAAUUUAAUUCUCUUUUGAAAGAGUCAAUGAUAAAAAAGAAAAGUUAAAUUAAUAUUUUUUAACAAAAAUAGUAAUAAAUAUUAAAAUUAAGAAUAAUAUUAUAGAACCUAAAUACUCAACACAACCCAAAACCUUCGCCUUAACCAAGAAACUAAUACUUCCUAAAUUUCAUUAGCUUAAUAAUAGCUAUUCAAAUAUAUUUUUUCAUUGUAUUACUUAAAUUAUUAUUACUUACUUUAACAUUUAAAUUAUCAUUAUAUUACAUGAUUAGUUCCAAAUAUUUAACAUUGUAACUAUGCUUCUUUAAAUAUAGUAAUUGCAUUUGUUAUUCACAUGUUAUUCACAUGCCAACCAACCAAUUUAUUAUUCACAUUCCUAACUUUCUAAAUGCAUCAAAUAUUUCAUAUUCAUGUACUAACAAAGAUCAUGCCAAGAACCCACAUGCAGAGUCAUUAUAUACCACAUUUAACUCAACAAGACUUUUACAUAACCAAAGAUUACUCCAAACGUUUAUACGCAUGUCGCAAUCCUUGACUCAAAUGAUAAAAAAAAAAACACCAAAUUGACAAUAAAAUAAUGUAAGCUUCGAACGAUCCAAUCGACAUGUUCCACAAUGUAACACCUAAAAGGAAAAAGAAAACAAUGGGGUAAGCAUAUAAGAUGCUUAGUAAACUCAUAUGUAAUCUAAAACUUACCUAGAUUAAUUGAACAUAAAAAUUACUGAAUAAUCUAUCAAAUUUAUUUUUCCAUGGCACGUAGAUAUCGUAUAUGUAACAACAUUUCAAGUCGAAAAUGUUAAAUACAAUGUUGAAUCAUUAUGUCUUCUUUUCUUAAGUUUCACUUAUAGAAAUAUAAUAUAGGUUCAAGUACAAAUAUAUGUCUCGAUUAAUCUAGAAAGAAUUAGACAAAAUUCACAUAUGAUAUACGCAUAUAAUGAGUGUGAGACUCACACAUCACAAUUGAGAAUAAUGUUAUAGAACCUAAAUACUCAACAACCCAAAACCUUUGCGUUAAGCAAGAAGCUAAGACCCUAUCGGAGGGAGAAUUUUAUAUCUACAACACUUCUUAAAUUUCAUUAGCUUAACAAUAGCUAUUCAAAUAUUUAACAUUGUAACCAUGCUUCUUUACAUAUAGUAAUUGCAUUUGUUAUUCUACCCAACUUAUGAAAAAUCUCAAAUUUGCAAUUUAUUAUUCACAUGCCAACCAACCAAUUUAUUAUUCACGUGCCAACCAAUUUGUUUUAUCGAAGUUAUUAUACUUAUAAGCUUUCACAUAUAACCAUGCUUCUUUACAUAUAUUAAUUGCAUUUAUUGUUGUACCUCAUGAAAAUUUUCAAAUUUGCAACAACAUAUUAUUCGCAUGCCAACCAACCUCUUUUUUUUUAUUGAAGUUAUUAUACUUAUAAGCAUUCACAUUUAACCAUGCUUCUUGUAACACUUUUCAUUGGACCCAAUCGUUGGGUCCGAUCUACAAGACUCUACAGUCAUUGUCAAAGCAACUACAGUCGAAAUUACGAUAAGAUAAUUUUCAUUUAAACAUCAAGCAAGAUUCAACUACAGUAAUACAUUAAUUAUGAGUUUUAAUCGAGCUUACAAAAGCUUUUUUGGUAGUCCGAACAAGAAUUAGGACCAAACUAUAAAGAUUUGAAAAGUUUGGAGCGACGUCGCAACUUCAGCUUUUCCUCAUCGCAACAUGACCAUCUCAGUAUGUCACAUCAUAUCGAAAAGCCUAUGCUCAUCGCAGCGAGACUCUCUGACUUGGCAAUGUCGCAAUGUCAAGAUUCGUAGCCGUGAUGUGAACUCUAUAUUUGACAAAAAUAUACAAUUUGGUACCUAAUUCAAAGCUCCAACUAAAAUCAUGCAAGAAAAAUACAUUACGUGCCAUUUCUAAAUGACUUAAAACUUACCUUAAACAUGCUAAGUAAGUUUAAACAUAUCAUUUCAAUUCCAUAGCAAUUCAUAUUACCAUUUCAUCAAUUGUAUUCAACUUUUCAAUAACUUGUAACCAUGCUUCUUUACAUAUAGUAAUUGCAUUUGUUAUUCUACCUAAUUUAUGAAAAAUCUCAAAUUCACAAUUUAUUAUUCACAAGCCAAACAACCAAUUUAUUAUUCCAACCAACCAAUUUAUUAUUCACAUGCCAACCAAUUUGCUUUAUUGAAGUUAUUAUACUUAUAAGCUUUCACAUAUAACCAUGCUUCUUUACAUAUAUUAAUUGCAUUUAUUGUUGUACCUCAUGAAAAUUUUCAAAUUUGCAACAACAUAUUAUUCGCAUGCCAACCAACCUCUUUUUUUUUAUUAUUGAAGUUAUUAUACUUAAAAGCUUUCACAUGUAACCAUGCUUCUUGUAACACUUUUCAUUGGAUCCGAUCAUUGGGUCCGAUCUACAGAACGCUACAGUCAUUAUCAAAGCAACUACAGUCAGAAUUACGAUAAGAUAAUUUUUAUUUAAACGUCAAUCACGAUUCAAUUACAGUAAUACAUUAAUUAUGAGCUUUAAUCGAGCUUACGAAAACUUUUUUGGCAGUCCGAACAAGAAUUAGGACCAAACUGUAAAGAUUUGAAAAGUUUAGAGCGAUACUGCGACUUCAGCUUUUCCUCAUCGCAACAUGACCAUCUCAGUAUGUCACAUCAUAUCAAAAAGCCUAUGCUCGUCGCGGCGAGACUCUCUGACUUGGCAAUGUCGCAAUGUCAAGAUUCGUAGCCGUGAUGUGAACCCUAUAUUUGACAAAAAUAAACAAUUUGGUAUCUAAUUCAAAGCUCCAACUAGAAUUAUGCAAGAAAAAUACAUUACGUGCCAUUUCUAAAUGACUUAAAACUUACCUUAAACAUGCUAAGUAAGUUUAAACAUAUCAUUUCAAUUCCAUAGCAAUUCAUAUUACCAUUUCAUCAAUUGUAUUCAACUUUUCAAUAACUUAAACUAAAUAUCAACAAGUUAUACAAACAUCUACCAUUACCUUUAUCAUGCCAUAAUGAAUCAUUCCAUUUCAAACAAUCAUCACAUUAGUUCUUUCAUUUUUCUUUUUUAGUCAUCAUAUGCAAACCAACUUAAAUAGAUCACAUUCCAACUUUCUAAAUGCAUCAAAUAUUUCAUAGCAAAGAUCAUGCCAAGAACCCACAUGCAAAGUCAUUAUAUACCACAUUAAACUCAACAAAACUUUUACACAACCAAAGUCUACUACAAAUGUUUAUAUACAUGUCGCAAUCCUUGACUCAAAAUGAUAAAAAAUAAACUACCAAAUUGAUGAGAAAAUAGUUUAAGCUUAGAACAAUCCAACCGACGUGUUCUGCAAGGUAACAACCUAAAAGAAAAAAAGAAACAACGGGAUAAGCAUAUGAUAUGCUUAGUAAGCUCAUAUGGAAACUAAAACUUACCUAGAUCCAUUGAACAUAAAAAAUUACUCAAUAAGCUAUUGAAUUAAUUUUUCCUUGGCACUUAUAUACAUAUAGUACAUGUAACAACAUUGCAAGUCAAAAGUGUUAGAUACAAUGUUGAAUCAUAAUCCCAUCAACCUUUAAAACAUAAUCACAUAGCAAUCUACAUAUCAAAUUUCAUCAAUUUAUUUUUCAAUUCAAGAUUUAAUUCCAUUUCCAACCAUUUAAUCAUCCUCUGAUAAAACUAUAGUAAAAAAGACCUAGGUACAUGGGACUAUUUUGCUGACACUUUAACGAACUUUCUCACACAAGUUGAUUUUAUAUUAGAAUUGUUCACACAAGUUGACUUUGUAAUAAUUGCUCACACAAGCUAACUUUAUAUAAUGGAAUUGUUCACACAUCCUGACUUUGUAAAAUGCUCACACAAGCUGACUUUGUAAUACUUCCAUACAACUAAUAUUUAUGAUUCAAUUAAAUUCAAGACAAUUGUGCUAAAUUCUAACAAUUAUAUAUAUAUAUAUAUCCUUUUUUUCGGGAUCAUUCCAAAAAAAACCGUUUUUAAUUUUUGGUGCGGAACAAAAAAAAAGUGAAUUGAAUUUAAAGUUGGAUCGAGUGAAUAAAUGGAUAGAGCUCCACGGCCCCAAUUAUAGGGAAACAAAAAGUAACAAGCUUCUGUUCUCAAUUUGAAUAAUUACCUAAUCUAAUUAAACUUUAAAAAAAAAAUUAGUGCCUAAUGUGGUAAAGGUUUUUCUCAUGAGUAAAUUAUCGGUUUUUUUUUUGAGUCCUAAUUAUUAUUAUUAGGCAUUCCCUUUAUGGGUUAGCCAUGAAUGUGUAGAAGAAGCAGUAUAUUGAUAAAGAAAAUAACUUUUUUUCUAAAAUCAAAAGAGCGAUUGGGUUGAAAAAAUAAAGGAUUUCUAACCGUCAUAUAUGUUGAUUCAAAUAUAAUUCAUACCAAAAUAAAAUUGAUUAUUAAGUUAAAAUAAAAUUUAGGAUGUGAAAGAAGUUCAAAAAAAAAAUUAAUGCAAAAGAAAGAUAAGGGUAUUUUUUUUAGGUCAUGGAUGUAACAACGAAGCUCGGUUAUUGUUGGUGUUGUAUGGAAGAAUCGAAGAUGUAGUGAAUGAGUUUUUAGGGUUUUAAAGUUUAACAUUGAAAGAUUGUUGUUUGUGGGUAUGUGACUGUUUUCGAUGUAAGGAAUGGUAUAAAAAAAUUACGAUUUAGGGUUUUAUUAUAUAAAUAAAGAAAGCGCCUUUUAAGAUUGUUAGAGGCACCUAUCUUUGUUUUUAGUGUAUGUAUCAUGGUCCUGAUGAUGCGGUACAAGUUUAGUUCUUUUGAGUGUGUCUUGUGAUGUGAAGUCUGUUUUGUUGGGGCUCUUGGCUCCUAUGUUUCAAUGAUAAUAAAAUAUACGUCAAACAAAAUUCUCACAAAAAACAGAGUUUACAAAACGACUAGUAAACAACACUUACUUUGGUUGAUGUAUGGCAUAAUAAGUCUGCAAAGCACCAAGCAAAAGUGCAGUAAUGGCACCCACAAAUGCCAAAAACGUCCAAGGACUCCUAAAAUAAGUAUGAUAAGCUAGAGCUGCAUGCUUAAUCCGCAUAUUCUUACAAUGAUUAUGUAUUUUCCGUUUAACCCCACCGUAAAUCAUCGGACUAGGAACCAAAUCAGUGUUCAUCUUAUUGAAAAGGUUAGCCACUUCUUCAUCACUCCCCAAUCCGUUGUAUAGUAUGCCGGUGCCACUCAGGUCUUUAACAUCUUCGGCUUCAUCGAUCAAUAAAUCAAGGAAACACAUAUAUGAAGUGACAGUGAAAUCGUUUUUGAAAUCCGGGCACAUUUCGUAAGCUAUCAAGUUCAUGGUUGAAUCAUUGACGGCGAUUGGCGGUAAACAUAAUUUUCCAACGAAGAUACGGUUGAAACAGAUUCGUAGUAGAUUCAGUAGGUGAAUUGGACUUGCAGCUUCCACCAUUACCAUUUUCUAGAGCUAAAUCUGUGUCAAGUCAUCGAUUUAUAAGUUUAAUUGAUCCGAUGUAUUCAUAUUUGUUGAUUAAAUAAAUCAUUAAAAAUUUUGAUUUUAUUAUUUAGUUCAAUAAGUUUUUUUUUUUUUUUACAAUUCAACCUGAUUCUUAAGUCAAUCGAUCUAAUGACUUUCUUUAAACUCAUACCUCAAUUAAUUUUCAAUCCAAUAUAAUCCAAACAACAUUUCGUAAAAUAUAAUUUUAUUUUACCAUUUUGAAAAGUUGGAUUUGAAAAUGCACACUCAACAGGAUCAAUACAAAGGGACAGGCGAGGUCGUUCUCAAAAAUAGAAAAUUAUAUUUUCAUCCUUUUUAAAUUAUUAAAUUAUAAAUUUAUAUAAUAAAAUUACACUUUAACCUUUUAAAAUGAAAAAAAAAAUUGUUCAACCUUUUUAAAACUGAUGAAAUUAUAAAUUAAUAAAUGAAAAAAAAAGAGAAUGAGACGAAACUUGUUGAUCAAGCUAGUUGGAUAGAGAAUUAAGUAAAGGUGCUCAUGGGUAAGGUUGAACCCAAUAAAAGAUUUAUGCCUCAGCUUGGCCCACUCGUUUUAAUUUUUUUAAAUUUUUUUAAAUUUUUUUAAUAUAAUUUUUAAAUAUAUAUGAUACAUUAAAAAUACUAAAAAACAUUAAAAUAAAUAUUUCCCAACAAACUAAUUUUUUUUUAAAAAUAUGUAUACUUAAAUAACAUUAAAGUAGACACUGUAAAAUGGUAAUAAAAUAGGAAGAAAAUGACAAGAAACUAGCAUUAAAACAAUAAAAAAAUAACAUAUUUUUUUGUCCUUUUGUGAUUCGGGCUAGGGUUGGGCCAAAAAUGUCUUACCCGAGACUCGGCCUAUUUUCAAAACUAGAUUUUUUUUUGCCCAAGUCAAUUUUUUAGGUCUAUAUUUUUACUUAAACCCUUAUAUUUCUCGGACGAGCCAAAUGACCCAAUCUAUGAGUAAGUCUAGAAUCAAGCAAGAUACUGGUCCAGAAGAAAAGGAUAGACAAAUUGAAUCGAAUAGUAAAAUCGAUUUUUUUUAUAUUUUUAAUAUAACUUUAAUAUUUUUUAAGAUUCUAUAUAAUUUAAACGAAUGAACUAUUCAACCGAAAAUGAGGAUCUAAUCGAUUCCAUCACCUAGUUAUAAAAAUCUUUAACACUUAUAAACUCCACAAAAUAUUCUUUUUAAAAUUCCUUAAAUUACCUGUCCCGCUGAUGUGAUUGUGGCUCUUUUAUCUCGGCUGGGUUGACAACAGUGUCGUCGAUGAACCUUUUGAUUGAAUCCAUGAACUUUUUGCCAUCCCCCGAGCUUGUAAGCAAUUCAGGAACACGAAAAGGUGAUUGGUUUUCCAACAAGAACAGAUCCGAGUACACAAAUGUCAGCAAAUCGUUUUUAAUGAAAUUCGUUCGACUUACGAUCAUAAUCUUGGCCGUAACGCAUAUAAACUGCUUGUAAAAUUGCGCAGCCGUCAAUUCCUUUGGAUCAUAGCUUUUCUUCAAGCCAUCCGGCUCUGUCUUCAUGUUGUUGUACAAGGUAUCAUUAUCGAUGCCAAUUUUUUUAACGAAAUUUGCUGCUAAAUUGAGCUUGAGCUUCUCGGACUCGUGGAGGGUGGGAUCAUCGUGGUGGAGUGGGCCAAUUGAGAUCACUUUCGGCUUGAAAUAUUUCCGGAAAUCUUCGUCACGGCGAAGGGUUGCUGGGACUCUUUUGUCAAUAGUUUGGCUUUGGGGUCGAGAUGGUCCCCUUCGAAAGCUUCGUCUAAUGACCAGCAAUUCCGUGAUUCGCCAUUGCUGUGAGUGAAGUCUGUACCCGGUAUUGGAAUGAUCGUCUCUAGGGGAUUGUUGUUCGUGUUGUUAUUGAUGACUGUUUGAUCAGUGGAAACUACUCCACCGGGAGCUCUGACGGCGCCGCCUCCUUCUGUAACACCCCUAUACCAUGUUUGACUUAAGGAACCUAAUAUAAGAAUAUUACAUUUGAUGCCAAAGUAAUUCUUGGCUAAUUACUAUUAUAUUUGAACAUAAAAACAGACAAAUAAUAAAUUUAAAUAAUUUAUAUUUAAAUCCAUUACUACUACUUGGGACAUAAUUUUUUUUAAGUACAUGCCAUUCUAUUCAAAAUUUUAAAACAUACCCGUUGUUGCUUGAAGAUGUGAUGAGAUGAAAGCUUACAAUCUCAAAUUCGACUCUCAAAAAUUUAUGUACCUAAUUUGCGCAAGGAAACAAAUCGUACAAUGAGUAUACACCCAGUGUUAUUACUAUAAUUCAAAUACUUAAGGUAAAAACAAUAUAUAUACACAUUAAAUCUUACCACUAUUUUACCUUCAAUAAAUCAUUCAUGCAUUUAAACUUUAAAUUUAUUCUAAUAAUAUGUAUCUUAAAUAGCUUUUCUUUAUUUUAAUUUAUAUAUCUACUUAUUAUAUCAAUAUUCAUUUCAUGCAUUUCAUCAAUAACCAUUUCAUAAAACUAUUAUUUCAUAUAUUUCAUUUCUAUAUCCUAAUUCAAUAAUUUAUUCUAUUCCAUAUCUAAAACCUUACAACAUUAGUCUUUCAAUAAUUAUUUAAACCAACAUUUUUCAAUAAAAAUAAUUAUAAUUAAUUCAUAAGAUUAUAUCCAACUAACUCAUACACUAUUUCAUUAUUUCCUAUUCAUUCUAUUUUCACUUCUUAUUUCGAUAUCUCAAUUUCAAUUCACAUUUCAAUUCAUAAUUUCACUUUCUCAUACUUUCAAUAGCUCAAUCCAUCAAUUCAUUUGAUUUUUUCAUUUCAUUUAUUCAACUGAUUUCAAAAUCAAUAAUUCGAUAUUUUAGCAAAUUCAUGAACCUUAUGUUCAUGCUUCAAAUCUCGCAUCUUAAUGCCGUUCACAAUUCAACUCAUAAUUUCUUUCUCAUAUCUCUAAAAGUACGAUCAAUCAAAUUUAUUUAAUUUUCUCAUUUCAGUUAUUCACCUUAUUAACAAACCCGGACUUUGACGGAUACACGAAUUCCAACCCAAACACACCAGUACGGCAUAUUGUGCCUAAAACGGUACAUAGUACCUGAUCAGUAUACGACACAUAAGUGCCUGAAAUGACACACGAGGUGCCUAAUAUGACACACGAGGUGCCUGAAAUACGCAAAGCCGAUAUAUCCCGGACUCUUAUAAAUCCUAUGGCAUGCCAAUUAUAUCCGACUCAGCCCGACUAGAUAAUAGGGUAUUUCAAUUCUCAAUUCACUUUCAUUUCCAAUUCAAUAUCACUUUUCAAUUACAAUUUCUCAUUCAAAUCAAUAUACAAUUCAAUUGUACAUACACAUUCAUCAUUCAAUUCAAUUCUCAUUCAUUUCAAAAUCAAUUUUUCACUUUCUAAUCAAUAAACAAUUCAAUACCAAUACAUAUUUCAGAUAAUCACAUAUAAUCAUAUUUCGAUUCAAUUCAAACCACUUUUCAAUCAAUACACAAUUCACAUAUUCACACAUAUUCAUAAAUUAAUUCACUUUUAUUUAAUUCAUAUUUUUAAUUCAUUUUCCAAUCAAAUUCAAAUCACUAAUUACUUUUCAAUCAAUAUACAUUUCAAAUACUCACAUAUUUUCUUCAUUCAAUUCAAUUUGAUUCAAUUAAAAUCACUUUUAGUUUCCAAUCAAUAUAAUUUCAAAUAUUCACAUAAUUCGUAAUUCAAUUACUUAAAUCACUUUUAAUUUCCAAUUUGUUCACAUUCAAUUUCAAUAGCCAUAAACAUUUUUGAAUCAAUUUCAUUCAAAUCAAUAUCAUCAUUUCAAUUGCUUACCUAAUUUUAUUUGCCAUGCAUUUUAAUUCAAAUAUAACAAUUAAUAAUAAAUAGAUUUGAAUUAUAGUAGUACAAACCCGGAUUUGUUCGAUUACUCCUCGAUAACGUUUCCUUUCUUUUCGGUGCCGAUGCCUCGAUUUCUUUGGUAACUACAAAAAUAAUAAUAAUAAUUUACACUUAUUAAUAACAGCACUAAUUUAUAAUAAUGAUUGAAUUUCUAUUCAAUUUAUAUCCUAAUUCCAAUUUAAUCCUAAUUAACUCAUUUACUUUUAUAAUUCAAUUCAUACUUCAUUUCGAUUCAAUUUCCUUCCAUAUUUCACUUAACUAUCUAAUGUUCAUAAUAAAAUUAUAAUUUAAAAUUUCUUUCAAUUUAGUCCUUUCAACACAAAACUUAUAGCUUCUUUUACAAUUCAAUCCCUUACCAAAUAUAACUUGAAAUUCAUUCAAUUAAAUCCCUAAUUCAUCUUUUUGUUCAACAUGAACUAUACUUAUAAACCUAUGAACUUUCAAAGUAUCAACUUAAUUUCAUCAAAACCUUGUUCUAAAGCUUGUAAAACAUCAAAAUUAAGUAAAAAUGACUUAAUUGACUUACCUAUUAAAGUUUUAACCUUCAAACCCUAGUUUUUCCCCAUUUUCUUUUCUUUCCCUUUUCUUUCUUCUUGUUUUCGAAUGGCUUCUGCUAUUCUUUCUUUUGCUUUCUUUCUUUAUUUCAUUUCAUUUAUAUAUAUAUAUAUAAUAUUAGUUAAUAAUGAUAAUAAUGAUAAUAAUAAUUAUAAUAAAUAUCUUUUAAUAACACAUAUUUACAUUACAUUUGUCACCACUUAAUUUGUUUAUCGUACACAAAAAUCUUAUAAUAUAAUUAUUUAAUUAAUAACUAUCUUUUACUUAAUUUUCAAGUAAAUAAAUAAAUAUAAUACAAAUGUAUAUAUUUACAUUAUUUCAAUUGUCACUAUCCAAUUUUUUUAUUAGUUAUCUAAUAAAUAUCUUUUACUUAGUAAUAAUAAAUAAUAAAUAUCUAUUUACUAAUUAAAUAUAAGUAUUACAAAUGUACAUAUAUUUUUUUUACAAGUGUACAAUAUCAUCACCACCCAUUUGGCAAAAUUUUGAUUUAUUCAUAUAAUAUAAUAUAAUAUUUUUAAUUUAUAACUAAUAUAAAUUGCCAUAUAAUAAAAUAAUUAUAUACAUAAUAAUUUAAUAAUAAUUAAACAAUAAAAAUUUUAGAUUUUUAUCAACAUUUGCCGCCUCAUUUAUGGUGAAUGGUAUAUUUUCCAUUUUGGUCCCCCUUUCUUUUUAUUAAUCUAAUUUAGCCCUUAAUAUUUAUAAUUUUACCAAUUUGAUUUUUAUUCUUUUUAGUUAAAUUUAAUUCUCUACCUAGUGUCAAAUUUGACUAUUGAUCUUUUAGAAAAUUGUCGAAUUAAUGUUUUGUUCUUUGCUUUCAAUUUGGUUCUGUUCUUAAGCAAAUUUCUGCUUUGUUUCUUCUCCAAGUCACGAGUCUUGUUGUUCAAGUCAUAGCUGAACUAGCUUGCUUGUUGUUCAUAACACCAACAACCUGUUCUCGGCUGGGUUGAUAACAGUAUCAUCGAUGAACCUCCGGAUUGCAUUCAUGAACAUUUUGCCAUCACCCAAGCUUGUAAGCAAUUCAAGAACACGAAAAGGUAAUUGAUUUUCCAACAAGAACAGAUCCGAGUACAAAAAUGUCAGUAAAUCAUUUUUAAUUAACAAAUUACCAUCAUCAUCAUCAUUAUCGUAACGCAUGUCAACUGCUUGUAAAUUUGCGCAGCCGUCAACGAUGAACAUCCAAGCCAGUUCCUCGUUAUCGUCUCUAUACUUCUCUAAUUCCUGUGGAUCAUAGCAUUCCUUCAAGCUAUCCAUCUCUUUCUUAAUUUUUCUGUACAAGGAUUUCUUAUCGACGCCAAUUUUUUUGACGAAAUGUGCUGCUAAUUUGAGGUUGAGCCCCUUGGAUUCACGGAGGGUGAGAUCAUCGUGGUGGAGUGGGCCGAUUGAGAUCACUUUCAGCUUGAAAUACUUCUUGAAAUCUUCGUUACGGAGAAGGGUUGAUGGGACUUUUUGUAUUAAUGGUUUGUAUCUAAGGGUGGGUUGGCCACCAAAAGCUUUGUCUAAUGACUGGAGCUUCGCUACUUCGCCAUCGCUGAGAGGGACGUCGGUGAACCACAUAUCAAUUCCCACGUAAUCGUUGUUGGUGUUGUUGUCGAUGAUUGUUUGAUUAGUGGAAACUGCUCCGGCGGCGCUGCCUCCUUCCUCCAUGGACGACAUUUUCAGGCUGACCGGCUCGAAGUAAUUAACAAGGUGAUUUUGAAAACUUGUUUUGGCUGAUUGAGUGAUGUUGGAAAAAAGGUGGCAAAAUGGCUACGAUGAUAACAAAUCUUCUAUAGCUUACAUAAAGAGGCGAAUAUAGGGGAAUGUAAAAUUGUUAUUUAGGCCCUUAAUAUUUUUUAAAAUUUUAAAUUAGUAAAAGUGAAAUUACAUUUUGGCCUUAUAAAAUUAUAAAAAUUCAAUUUAAUCUUUUAAAAAUUAUAAAGAUAUAGACUACAAAAAAUUAAAAUCUCAUUCGAUCCACCCUAAAAAAUUAUUCGGGCUUCGCCACUGCUUACAUAAUAAACAUAUGGAAAAUACUUUUGGUGUAAUUCAAAUUUACCCCUUAUAGUCAAUUUAAUUUUCAUUUUUUUAAUUUAAUUUUCUAUCUUUUGGAAGAGUUGAAUUUAACUAUCAAUUUAAAUUAAUAUUUUUUAACGAAAAUAGUGACUAAAAUAUUAAAAUAUUAAACAUGACAACUCAAACGGCAAUCCACAUCUAUAUGUUUUUUUUAUUUAUUUCUUAUUUUUAAAUUAUUUAUUGAUGUGACAUAUAAUAAAAGUAUUGUUAUAUUAGCAUGAAGUACACAUGGAAGGCCACACGAGUUGUGACACCAAUAUCGUUAAAAAUUAAUAUUUUAGUUAGCAUAUCUGUUAAAGAAAAGCAAAUGAACUCUUUUUUCAAAGGUUAAUGGCUAAAUUUAGCUCAAAUGAAAAAAAAAAAAGGCCAAUUUGAUAAAAAAGGUAAAUGUCAAGAGUUAAGUUUAACAUUUAUACAAGUACAAAUAUAUGUCUGGAUUAAUCUAGAAAGAACAAGACAAACUCUACAGGUGAUAUACAAAUGUGAUGAGAGUGGAACCUGCACAUCACAAUUGAGAAUAAUAUUAUAGAACCUAAAUACUCAAAAACCUAAAACCUUCCCCUUAACCAAGAAGCUAAGACGCCAUGGAUAAUUUUAUAUCUACAACACUUAUGAAUUUCAUAUGCUUAAUAAUAGUUUACAAAAAGACAAGUAAAGAACACUUACUUCGGUUGAUGUAUGGUAUAAUAAGUCUGCAAAGCACUAAGAGUAAGUGCAGCAAUGGCACCCAAAAAUGCUAAAAACGUCCAAGGACUCCUAAAAUAAGUAUGAUAACCUUGAGCUGCAUGAUUAAUCCACAUAGUCUUACAAUGAUUAUGUAUUUUCUCUUUAACCCCACUGUAAAUUGUCGGACUAGGAACCAAAUCAGUGUUCAUCUUAUUGAAAAGCUUAGCCAUUUCUUCAUCACUGCCCAAUCCAUUGUAUAGUAUGCCGGAGUCUCUAAGGUCUUUAACAUCUUCGGCUUCAUCGAUCAAUAAAUCAAGGAAACACAUAUAUGAAGUGACGGUGAAAUCGUUGUCGAAAUCCGGACACAUUUCGUAAGCUAUUAAGUUCAUGGUUGAAUCAUCGACGGAGAUCGGCGGUAACCGUAAUUUUCCGAAGAAGAAGAUAUGGUUGAAACUGAUGUCGGUUAAAUUACUUGUUUCGCUGGCUUCUAACCAUAUCCCGGCCUUUUUAAGCUCUUUUACGUUACCAAUGGUGCGUGAAUGGUACCGUUUUGUUCUUUUUCUUCUUGCUGCUGCUUUGCCAAAUCCGUGUCGAGUGAAUUCCCAAAGAAAACACCAGCACCGUAUUCGUACUUUUCUGAGAAGGAGUCUUUCUCGUAGUAGAUGCAAUAAGUGAAUUCGCUCUCCUUCUUUUUGCUGCUUCCACCACCAUUCCCUACACCAAAAUCUGUGUUAGUCGGAAGCCAAGCUACAAUUUCUCUUUUCUCUUUUCUUUUUUUCUUUUUUGUUGUUAAUACAAAAAUAUUAAAAAUCAAUCUAUACUUGUUAAUCAAGUUGGUUGAAUAAAAAAUUAAAUAAAAUUGAAGUUAUACCAAUUGAAUUAAAGAAUGGAAUAAAUUUCUUUUUAUAUUUUUAAUAUUUUUAAAAAUUUAUAUAAUUAAACUGAAUUAACUAAUCAAAUGGAAAAGAGAGUCUAAUAGAUUCCAUCACCUAUGUAGUUAUAAAAACCUUUUAACAUUUAUAAACUCCACAAAAAUGAUUCUUUAUUUAAUUCCCUAAAUUACCUGUCCUCGCCUGGGUUGAUAACAGUUUCGUCGAUGAACCUUUGGAUUGCAUUCAUGAACUUUUUGCCAUCCCCCGAGCUUGUAAGCAAUUCAAGAACACGAAAAGGUAAUUGGUUUUCCAACAAGAACAGAUCCGAGUACACAAAUGUCAGCAAAUCGUCUUUAAUAAACAAUUUACCAUCAUCAUCAUCAUCAUCAUCAUCACCGUAACGCCUGUAAACUGCUUGUAAAAUUGCGCAGCCGUCAACGAAGAAAAUCCAAGCCAGUUUCUCGUUAUCGUUGCUAUAGUUCUCUAAUCCCUUUGGAUCAUAGCAUUUCUUUAACUCAUCGAUCUCUGUCUUCAUGUUGUUGUACAAGGUAUCCUUAUCGACGCCAAUUUUUUUGACGAAAAGUGCUGCUAAUUUGAGCUUGAGCUUCUCGGAUUUAUGGAAGGUGGGAUCAUCGUGGUGGAGUGGGCCGAUUGAGAUCACUUUCGGCUUGAAAUACUUACUGAAAUCUUCGUGACGACCAAGGGUUGAUGGGACUCUUUGUAUCAAUGGUUUGGCACGGAGGUCGAUUUCGUCGCCGUCGAAAGCUUCGUCUAAUGACCGGAGAUUCACUACUUCGCCAACGCUGAGAGGGACGUCCAUAUCAAUGCUCACGGAAUCGUUGUUGUCGGUGAUUGUUUGAUC